UUUAGUAUAACGACCCCCUCAAAUUAUGAAACCACCUGCUCUAACAUGUCACCUGCUGCUGGUGCACCACCCAAAUGGCUCGUGGUCACCAUCAACUAUCUGCACCAUCCUCCAGUUUUGGAAAAGUCUUCAUGAACCAGAGGUACUGUGCCUGAGAUGCUUCACUCAUGUUCUCAAUCUGAGAUGGAUUAGGGGCAUCGACGACGGGUGGGACGGCUGCGUGGGGUAAAUCACCCGGCUGUGCAGCAGCACCUGGCUGCAAAAGGGCAUGAGCUUCACCACCUCCUCCUGCAACCCCGUCGCCUCCAAUCAACGGCUGUUCACUUUCGACCGACGAAUUCUCCUCACCUUCGACGAACUGCUCCUCAUAUUCAGAGGCCUGCGCGAUCCCCACAUUCGUGCUUUCUUCCUCUACGUCAGAGUGCUUGUCAGUAACCCCACCGGCUUCGAGCUCGCUUCCGGUUUUUUUUAGUUUUGUUGCGGCUGUCGCAACCUCAGUGGAAUGCAAAAGACUCUGCUUAUCUAAGUCCGCGGCCUUGUCCAAGUCCUCGUCCGCGACCGUAUCCGCGGAUGGAGGCGAAGGAAUUCCAUUCAGACCGUCACCCGUGCUGAACAUUCUCACAAAAAGUAAUUAUCCAUUUGCAAACCAGAACCCUACCACAAGAAACCCUCACAGUAAACAUAUAGAUUUAAACGUAUAAAGAUCCAAAUUUCACGCUAGAAUUCCAAAAUUGCACAGGUGAAGAUGCUAAGGCAAACGAUUGCGCUAAAUUUGCAAAACAACUCCAUAGACAGGGCAAUUACGUGAUUACUGCCAGAGAGCUGCCCCAUCGCACAAUUCCUAACUAAAAAAUAGCAACAAACAGAACGAGGCAAUACAACACUCAACCCACCUGCGAACGGACGUGAUCUGCUCUGGCUCGGCUGCCAUUCCGCUCUCCAGGCUGGGUGGUGCUGGGGUGUGGUAAAUCAUGAUCCGGCGUGGGCAGUGCGGGGGCAAAAGCGUGAUAGAGAAAGGAGUGAAUGACGAAAAACAUAGGUCUGCUGUGCAUUUAUGGACGUAUAUCAUGAAGCCCUAAAAUCAGGUUGGGGGGCCAGGAAGUGGCCCCAUUCCUUCUUCAUCGCAAGCGUGGACUGGGUAAAAUCCCCACCUGGUCCAGUCAUUCAUUUCGUCGAAGCUUGCACAACAGAAGGGAAGGAAGGGCAGGGAAGGGAAGGACCUGCCAAGGACCUGACAGAGUUGCAGUGCUACGCAUAUCCACCCUUCCCUCGGAAAUACGCCUACCACUUGCAUCUCUUCUGAAUUAAUAUCAAAUAAUAUUCCACUUUCCUUGCAUAUAAACAGAUUCACGUGUCUGUACUUCUGUACUGACACACACAAACAUAAAAGUAAAAGUUCAGAAAGUACAUCUUCGAAAAAGCAUCACAGUGAUUAUUGAUUGCAGAACAAAAAUUAAAAUUGUAGAAACUUAAUCAUUUUUAUAUUUGAAAAAUUUCAAUAUACACAUUUGCAUUACAAUAAUUUCAUAUAAUUGAAAAUUAUGUGUGCAUGUGUGUAUAUAUAUAUAUAUAUAUAUAUAUAUAUAAAUGUAUGUAUGUAUAUAAACAGAAAUAUUCCUAAUAACACUUUAGUUUUUUUUCACAUGCCACCAAUUUUUUUGUUAUUGUCAUCUUAACUUGUCAUCCACAUGUCAUUUUAUUUAAUUAUUUUUUAUAAUUCUAUUAUAUAUAUAUAUAUAUAUAUAUUUUAAUUUAUUUUAUUUUCAAAUAAAUUUAGAAAGUAAAAUUAAUUUUAUUAAAAAAAAUUGUAAAAUUAAUAAGAAUAAGUUACAAUGGUGGUAAUAUUAAAAACAUCUUAUAUAUGUAUGUUUGUAUGUAUGUAUGUAUGUAUGUAUGUUGUUAUUAUUAUUAUUAUUAUUAUUAUAGUGCUAAGUAUAUUUGUUAGUUUAUCUAGUCUUAUAAUGUAUAUGAUCAAUUAUUUUAGAAUCAAAAUAUGUAGAUGUUUUCAUUCAAUGGUUAGACUAAGAAGUUUUUGAAAUGUUCACAACAAGCUUAGAGGAUUAUAAGGACAUGAAUAUCAAACAAUAAAAUCCUCAAUACACUCUUGCGACACUUAAGAAGAGUAAAUAUUCACUCAAAGAUAUUAAUAUUUAAGAAUUAAAAUGACUAGUGCCAAAGACAAGAAGACUAGAGAUUCUUGAAACAAGACUAGGAAUAAGAAAGGCAUUGACAAGAGUCAAGAAAACUUCACUCUUGCCUCCAUAUAUACUAUAUAACUAGGAGCUAUGUGACAAUGUUCUAUAAGAUCUCUAAUAUGUAUUUAAUUUGCAAGUCAUGUGUCUUGACUUAUAGGACAAGUUUUCUAUGCGUGUGUUACAUGGUUAGUUUAUACUACAAGAUACAAACACGUGUAAUACAUGGCUAACUUGUUGGCCAAGUAUUCAACCUACCAAUCAUCUAUAAACACAUAUAUAGGUCAAAUUGCAUCUAUAAAUCUUCUAAAAAGCUUAUUUAUAAGAUUAAUUAAUGAUUGAAAAUAAUGUAUAUUAGGAAGUCAACUUAAAUAGUAUAGAAUAUAUACCUUUUUAUUUUGGCAUAUAAUCGUGUAUUUCUAAGUUUUUGUAGUAUAUGACAAACAUGAAGUUCAUAUUUUUUUUGUGUUCUUAGAAUAGAUUAGAUUAUUGUUUAAAUAGCAUACAACAAAAUCAUGAAGAAUUUUAUAAAAUAAAAGUCUUUUAUAAGAUAUUGAAAAGUAAUUGGUGUAUUUGUGAGUCCAAAAGGCAUGACAUUAUAUUUGAAAUGUCUAUACCUAAUUUUAAAAAGAGUCUUCUAUUUAUGUCUUUUAAUGUGAACCAGCUUAUAAGUUCCUCGUAGAUCUAUUUUUGUAUAGAUCUUUGCUUGAUUGAAUUGGUCAAGAAGUCUUGAAAUUAGAGAUAAAAGUUACCUAUUCUUGAUGGUGAUAUUAUUAAGUCUUUGAUACUCUAUAAACAUCCGUAGAGUUUCAAUUGUUUUUUAUGCAAACAAGAUAGGAACUUCUAUUGGAGAUUUUGAAUAGCAUAUGAAGUUUUUGGCCAAGUUCUUGUUAAUGUAUUCUUUUGGUGCAGCCAACUUCUUUUGUAAUAAGUUGUAGAUUGGUACAAAUGGCAGUUGAGCUCCUUCUUAAAGAUUAAUUGAACAAUCAUAUAGUCAAUACUUUGAAAGAAUAUUUUUGUUUUUCUUUCCAAAAAUAUCUUGAAAAUCUUGAUAUUUGCUAAAAAUACUACUUAACAUCUUUCUACCAUUAGAAGUGGGCAUGACAUAUAUAGCAAAAGAUGACCCUUUUUUUGCCACAUGUAUGUAAGUUCUUGCAUAUAUUAAUAAAGAUUAUGAUAUAUUAGACUUAUGAAUUCAUGCAUGACUUAAGAAAUCUUGGAUUAAAUUACAAGAAAAGAAAAAUCAUGGAUGCUACACUUUAUGGAAGUGAGAAUAGAUUUGUAACUAUUGAAAAUCUUCAUAAAUUGGUCAAUAUUCUUAGGGUAGAAAUUUCAUACAUUAUUAGUGUCAAUAAUGGAAUUACUAAUCUUAUACCUAUGGAAGAAGUUCAAAAUCAAUAUUAAAAAGUUGUGUAGUUGAAAGAAACAAAUAGAUCGACCUCACAACCAAAUCUAGAAAGUUUUGCUUCUACAAGUAUGACAAGGAUAAGGAUUAGUAUGCCCAAGAAGUAUGAUGGUAGAAUAUUAAAAUUACAAGGAUUUUUGCAACAAGUCAAGCUCUAUCUAAAGUUGCAUUCUUUCCAAUAUCCUAAUGGAUUUACUCAAUUUGGCUUCAUAGAUCCAUUUAUAUCUAGAAGUACUCUUUUUUAUUUAUACUUUGAUAAAAAAAAGUAUGAACUCUCAAUUAUGCUCCAAAAUUUAAAACUUUAUUAUUUCUUUAUUUUAUAAUAAUUAAACAUAUUAGAUUAGGAUUUAUAUAAGUAGAAUUUAGUUUUAUAGAACUUUUGAUAUUUUAACAUUUGAUGGUAUAAAUCAUCGCCUAAUUCCUUGAAUUAGAUUAAUUAGGACUAAAGUGAUAAGAGUUAGAAAAUUAAAAUAGUAACUUAAUUAGUUUUAAUAAUUUAGAAGUUGUUAGUUACUACUACGAGGGUUGACUCAAAGCCUAUGAGUUCACCUACAAUCAUCUCAUAUGAUUUAGAGUAAAUUAGAAUUAUAAUUUUUUAAAAUAUCUAGUGAAGUUUAGCAAUGAUAGUUAUGAGAUUUCUUCCAAAUUCAACAAAUUUAAGCAGUAUAUUGGUUUUCUUAUUUAAUUGAAGUCUUUCAAAUGCAAUGGUGGCACCAGAUUCACCUUGUAGAGUGAAGAAAAUAAGAUCAGCACCCUCUCCUUCAAAAUACAAGUGGAACAAUGAAAUUCUUAUUUUGAAGAAUUUUACAAGAAUUACCAAGAUCCUUGCGAGUAAAAACUUUCAUAAAAAUUACAAAUGACUAUGGAUUGAGGCAAAUGAGUAGUCAAUCUUAGCAUAAAAAGGUGUUGUGAAUACAAUGGUAAAUUUAGAUUUACCAAAAAGUGCUUUCUUGACCACUUACAAGAGCCACCAGCCAUGGUAUCGAAAUUAGCUCUUGGAUGAAUGAAGGCUAUAGAUCUAUAUUAGGGAUUUUAGAGAUCAAAGGUAGAGAUGUGGCCACCCUCCCAUAAGCCACCACUCAAUUGUAUAAGAGUGGCUUGGUUUCCCAAGUCCUCUCUCUCUCCUCUUUCGAUGAAGGGCAAAGCCAUGCCAAAUUUUGACCUUAAAUCUUAAUCUUGAUUUUAAAUCUCAUUGAACUUUGUAGUUGUCUGUGCAUAGAUCUUGAGUAGUAAAUGAUGGUUAUUGGGUUUUAAAACACACUUCAUUGUGGUAGAUAGCUCCCUCGGCCUUCCAAAUAUUUCAAGGGUUUCAAGAGCCUCGGAUUUUCCUCAAUCAAUCAUUUAAUUUUUUGAAUUUCAAUGUGAAUUUUUUUAUGGUUAUAGCUUUUGGUGUUAGCUUUUUUAAAAGAUAAAAUUCGCUCAAUUUGAAAUAAGGGCGAAAUUUUGGUGAAAUUUUGAGUGCACAAGGAUUGAUUGCCUUAACAGUUUAGAUCACCCACCGUUGAAAUGGCAUUUAUCAAUGCUUCUAAAUUAGAUUAUUGUAAAAUUUUGGAAGUAAGUCCAUCUUCAAGCUGAGCUUCUAUUGGCAUAAAUUUCAUUGAAUUUUAAAAAAAAAUUAAUUUAUGGUUAAUUUCAAAGUAGAUGGAGGUUUAAGAUGAAGUGAAUUUUUUGUUAAUUUCUAAGUAGAAAGAGGUUGCCUGCCAUAGUAGUCUUAGUCAUUCAACUUUGAAGGAAGAUUUUUUGUGGCUUAGAUAUUGGAUUGAAUUUAAAUUUAUUGGACCAUGAGCAUCUUCAACUUAAAUUUUUAAUAAAUUAAAAAUAAUUCAAUUUAAAGCUAAUCAUGAUUUUUGGCAAAUUUUGGAGUAGAAGAGAUUUAUUGUCCUCAAUUCUUAAGCUUUAUGAAGAUAUCUUUGCUUUUAUCUCUCUUUAGUCCUACUUUUAUUUCUAUUUUUAUAAUAAUUUGUAACUUUCAUAUUUUAACUUUUGGAUUUUAGUUUUUAAUUUUAACCUUUAAUCUUCUCACUUUUGCUUUUAACUUAAUCUUCAAGAUUUUUUAUUUUUAUUAUAGAUUAAUAGCAAUAAUUUGAUCAAUUGCUUUUACCAUCAAUUAUUUAAAGAAUAAUGAUUCAUAAAUUUUUAAUAAUUAUUCAUUUAUUUACUCUUAUUAAUUAUAAUUUUGUAAUCACAUAAAAUUUAAUAAUUAAAUAAAGAAAAUAUAAAAAAUCUUAAAUAAACCAUUAAGAUUUAAAUAGAGAUCAUGCAAAUAGCCUUAAAAGACCAUAGUAAAUUUCAUUAAAUAUUUUUAUUAAUAUUGAUAACCAUUACUUAAAAGACUUAAAAUUAAUUAAACUACAGAUAUUAAGAUUUAAAUUAACUUAGCAAUUACACAAUUGGAAGUUCUUCCAUUCCACCUCUUGAAUUUGUUGUAUGGCAUCAAUUUCAUUAAGUGGUGAAAUUUGGGCUCACAAAAAGGAUUUAUGACUCUUUUAUGAUUUGAAUUCAUUCCUAAAAGUGUUUAUAGCUAUAUUUUGAAAAAAUGAUUAAAAAAAAGUAGCAUAGACCAAGUACUUAUCUUUACAACAAAGAUCACGGUCAACCACCAUUGUGAGCUAAAAUAAAACUUCCACUAAUUGGAAGUUUAUUCUAACUCAUAAUAAGUGAAUUAACUAUAUGAAUUUAACAUAAAGCUAUUAUUUAAAUUCUAAUCUACUUAUUACUUGUCCUUCUUAAAACACCAAGUUAUUAAUCAAAACUUCUAACAUUACUCACAUUCACAAUGAUAAUUCACUCCUAAAUUUUAUGCAAAACAGUUCCUUCUUCUACUUCUAAUUAGAUAAUUUGAUUUAAUUUUUUAUUUAAUUUAAUUUCAUUAUUAUUAUCAUUAUUAUAUUAGGUCGUUUUUAUUACUUUUUAUUAUUUUAUUAUUUUAUCUUUUUUUUAAAAAGAUGUAAAUUUAAGGUUGGAUUAAAAAUCAAAAUUUAAAAAUUAAAAGUAAAGUUUUAAAAGUAAAAUUAAAAUAAAAAGAAAAAAUAAAGUAAAGAUUAAAAAUUAAAAAAUAAAAGUAAAAGAGAGAAGAUUAAAAGUUAAAAAUUAAAGCCAAAAGUGAAUGUAGAAGUUACAAGUUACUGAAAAAAAUAACAUAAAAUAAAAUAAAAGAGAAAAUAAAUAAAGAGAGGUAUAAGCAGAAGUACCUUGACAACGUCCAAGGUUUGAGGGAAGCACCGCCUUUACUCCAAAAUUUUCCAAAAAUCCAAAUUAACUUCAAAUCUAAUGAUUUUUGUUGUGUUGAAAAUUUAACUUCAAAAUUCUCCUGCUCCAAAAUAUUCGUGGCAAUCUAAUACCUGAGCUGCGAGAAAUGCUUCUUCAAAGUUGGGUCAUUGGGCUUGCCACUGCAGCUGACCCCCCUUCACUCAAAACUUCAUUUAAAAUUCACAAUUACUUCAAAUUUAAUGAAACUUAUGCCAAUAUAAGCUUAGCUUAAAUUUUCUUGUACUCCUAAAUUUUUAAAAUGAUGCCAUUAAUUGGCACUAAGGAAUGCCUUUUCAAAGUUGAGUUAUUGAAACCACCAAGGUAACCGCCCCCUUGUACUAAAAAAUUCACCAAAAUUUCGAUUCAACUUUAAAUUGAGAAGGUCUUAGCUCGUUGGAAAGAUAAAAACAUGGGCUAUGUUAUGAAAAAAAUUUUACUUACAAAUCAUAAAAAACCAUAGAUUGAUUGAGGAAAAUCUGAGGCCCCUCAAACCCUUUUGACUAUGGAAUUGGUUAGUAACCACUAGUUGCAAAGGGGCGCCUUUUAAACCACAACAAGCACCACCCAUGACACAAAAUCAAUGCUCAUAUGUUCCUAAAGUUCACAAUAAGAUCUAAGAUUAAGAAAGAACAAAAAAUUAAGAUUAGGGUUAAGGUUGAGACCACACUUUGGUAUGGCUUCGCCCUCAUCAAAAAGAAAAGAGAGAGAGAGGCUUGGGAAACCAAACCACCCUUAUACAAUUGAGUGAUGGCUUGUGGAAGGGCGGCCACAUGUCCACCCUUGACCUCUAAGAUUCCUAAUGUAGAUCUACAGCCUUCCUUGAGCGAAUUUCGUGACUAAGGCUGAUGGCUCUUGUAAGUAGGAUUUUUUUUUUUUUUUUGAUAAAUUUAACUUAAUCAUUGUGUUUAAAACACCUUUUUAUGCUAAGAUUGACUACUCACAUGCAUCAAUCUAUGUUCUUUUGGAACUUUUAUGAAGGUUUUUUUUACUUACAUGGAUUUAGGCAAUAUCUAUAAAAUUCUUCAAAAAAUGAGAAUUUCAUUUCUCUACUUGUACUUUGAAGAAAAUAGUGCUGAUCUUGUUUUCUUCACUCCACAUGGUGCAUUUGAUGCCUCCAUUGCAUUUGAAGGCUUCUAUAAAUUUGAAGAAUCACUUUGCUACUUGGAUUUCUUGAAUUUGGAAAAAAUCUUCAAAUCCAUCAUAAUUAAACCUCAUCAGAUUGUUUUUCUCUUUUUUUUUUUUUUUUUGACACCAAGACUACUUCUUUUUAAUUUCUCUACUAUUAGCUUAUUAGAAAAUUAUAGUCUUUAUAGUUUCUUCUUACUAAAUUCUAUCUUAGAUUGCAUGUCCGCUACUAACAAUCUAUUUUCUAUUUUUUCCUAAAAUUCUAAUAUUAAUUCAUAAAUUUUUUAUUUUAAGAUCAAUAAAUAUAUUUUUUAUACUAAAUAUCAAAGUAAGUCAAUUCAAUGGCUCACAACCAUAUAUAUUUUUGAAUUCUAAAACCUCAUUUAUGACAUGGAUUAGAAUGAUAAAGCCUUUAUUAAUCAAUUUUUAUAUGUAUUGAAGAAUAUUAUCAAAGAUUUAUUAUUGAUAAUAUCAAAAAUAGAAUCUUUAAAAUAAUUUAUUACUUAAGCCAUUGUAUGCAAUAAUCACUUAUUUGAAAGGCUUCAAAACCAAAGACUUGAUUGAAGAAGAAUAAUAUAAGUAAUAAUAGUAGCUUUUAAGUUUUUAAAAACUUAUUUAUUUAUAUUGGAACCAAUAUAAUUUGAUAUAAUAUUUUUAAAAUUCUUUAUUGAAUAGGAAAAGAAUUGAUAUUAUUAAAAAUAUUUUUUCUUAUAUUAUGAAAAAGCUACAUACAUUGUUCAACAUUGUCCAAAGAAGCAAUGCAAUUACAAAAUGAAGAGAAUAAUUGCCAAAGAAGAGAAUAUGUUAGAAAACAAAUUUCUCUAGCUAUAAUAAAGACCAUGUGGCUAGAAUCAUAUGAAACACCUAAUAAAGGUCUUAUUCUCUCAUCAAACUCUUCAUCUUGUUUUACAAUAGAUGUGUAUUUAGGAUCUAAAAAUCACAAAGUCUUUGCAUUAGUAGAUUUAAGAAACCUUAGCGCAUUUUAUAAAUAAAGAUUUUAUCAAAAAAUAAAAAAUAAUUUUAUUCAAAAAAACUAAUUCUUACAUAUAGAAGACAUAGAUGGUCAUUUGGUAUCUUUUGGAGAUAUAAUCCAUGAGAUUGUUCCUUUAGAUGUAGCAAUUAAAGAUCAUAAUAGUAUAAUAAUAUUUAAUAUCAUAAAAUCUCUCUUUAAUUUGAUUAUUUUAGGAUUAUCAUAAUUAAAAAAUAUAACUUUCAAAUAGAUUAGAUUUCUUAUAAUCUUAAUUUUUUGAUAAUUUAAUCCAAAAUUCCGUAAGUUAUGUAAAAAUACAUAAGUCUAAUAUAUCCAAAUUUAUAUUAAUAGGUGUAAAAGCUUUUAUGCAUGUCAUUAAAGAAAGAUCAUAUAUAUAUAUAUAUAUAUAUAUAUACCAUGCCUAUUUUUAAUAGUAGAAAGAUGUUAAGUGAUAUUUUCAACUAAUAUUAAGAUUUAAAGGAGAUUUUUUUUUUAAAAAAUAUAAAUAUUCUUUCAGAGCAUCAAUCUAUAAUUAUUCAAUUAAUUUGCAAAGAGCUCAACCACCAUUUGUACCAAUCUAAAGCUUAUUGAAAAAUAAGUUAGUUGCAUUAAAGAAGUAUAUUAACAAGAACUUAGCUAAAAACUUCAUAUGCCAUUUGAAAUCUCGAAUAGGAACUCUUAUCUCAUUUGUGAAGAAAAAAGAUGGAUCUUUAUAAAUGUGUAUAGACUAUUGAGGACUUAAUAAGAUCACCAUCAAGAAUAGGUAUUCCUUACUUUAAAUUUCAUGAAUUUUUGACCAAUUCAAUCAAACAAAGAUUUACACAAAAAUAAAUUUAUGAAAAAUAAACAACCUAAUUCAUAGCAAAGUAAGAGAUGAAUAGAAGACUACUUUUUAAACUAGGUAUGAACAUUUUGAAUAUAAUGUCAUGACUUUUGGAUUCACAAAUAUAUUAUUUUAUUUUAUUUUAUUUUAAAAUAAAAAUUAUCUUAAGUAAGUUACUAAUAGUCAAAAGAUAGUAAAAUAAUAAAAGUAAUUGAUUAAUGUAGUAGUGAGGAUUUAAUGUAGUGUCUAAGUUAAGAAGAAUCUACAGUUAAGUUAGAUGGAUAAAGAUGAUUAUAGAUGAAGUUCAACUACAAUAGAUAUAAACUCCUUUUAUAAGUAAAGUGUGUUGGAAGAGAGAGGUAUUUUAUUCUAUACUUUCUUUCUUUGUAACCAUUUUAAUUUCUACUUAUUUGUAUCUUACUUAUUGUAUUUUUUCAAUACUUUUUAAUAUAUCAUAAAUGAUAUUUUUUGUGAGUUUAUUAAUGAUUUUAUUGUGUAUUAUUUAGAUAAUAUUUUAAUCUAUUCUAAGAAAAUAAAAGAACAUGAACUUCAUAUUUAAGAAGUCUUCAAUUCAAGUCAAUCUCAAAACAAAUUAAAAUUUGUUUAAUGGCAAAGAUAUGAUAUUUAUGAAUGCACAUGGGAGCCAACAAAGAAUCUUGCAAAUGCAACAAAGAAAGUUGAAGCUUUUCUUCGAUGACAUCCAUCAAAAAUUAGUGAAAAAUGAAUAAAAAAGAGAUGAGAAAUUAGAAAUAAAGUAGUAAAUAUAUUUAAUAAGAAAUUAGAAUGAUUAUUGCCAAAAGGCUAAAAAAACUAGAAACUCUUGAAACUAGAUUAGAAGCAAGAAAAAAAUUGAAAAGUUGGAAGAAUGCUUCACUUUUGCUUUUGUAUAUAUAUUAUCUACUUAAAAGCUAUAUGGUAAUAUUCUAUAGGACCUCUAAAAUAUAUCCAAUUUAAAAGACAUAUGUCUUAACUUCUAAGAUAAAUUUCCUAUCUAAGUAUCAUAUUGUUAGCUUGUAUCACAAUCUACCAAUGCAUAGAACACAUGGCUAAUUUGUUGGCUAAGUUUUUAACCUAUCAAUCAUCUACAAAUAUAUAUAUAGAAAUAAAAUCAUGUAUAUAAAGCUUCUAAGAAGUUUUUCUAUAAGAUAUUAUCAAAUUAAUCUUCUUUUAUCUACUUCCAUCUAUUCAUAUUAUUUGUGUAACUAUAUAUAUAUUUGUAAAAUAUAUGCAUGUAUUUAUAUUUUAUAGACAUUCAAUAAGAAUAUUCUAAUUUUUAAAGAAUAUUCUAUUAAGUUCUAAGAGAUUCUUAAAAUAUUUUUAAAAAAUCCUAAAAGAUACUCAAAAUAUGUUGAAUGCAUUUAAGCACUUAGCCUAUAAUGCAAAAAAUUAUAAAGUACUUUCUUCUACACUAGGAUUGUUUAGAUUUUUUUAUUUUUAUUUUUUAUUUUUUUUCUUUUAAGAUGGCUAGAGUUGAAGAUAUUAAUAUGGUUGAGUCUUCAAGUCUAAGUAAGAUGUUAUUAUAAACACAUUGAAUGUUUUAUCUAAUAAAACUGCUGAAAUUGAAAGAUUUUUUGCAAGAUUUUAUAUUGAUGCAAGUUCUAGAGCAACUUAGCUUAUAAUGCAACUAUUUUUUUAACUUUUAUAUCCAAGGAGGCAAUGGAACUUGUACCUCAAUAAAGAAAUUCAUCUAUUAAACAAUAUAAUAAGUCUUGGAUUAAUCUUCCAAAAAUAUUGGAUGAUAUAUAUUCCAAGUUUUGAGAGUUUUUUAACAAAAUUUGAUUGAUUAUUUUUCUACAAUAUGAAUGCUAUCGAAUAGAGGAGUCAUAAGUUAAUUUAGUUAGAUUUUUUUUUCUAUGACAAGCAUUAUCUUGGUUUGCUCUUUUAUUUGAGAAGAGAUAUACAAUCUUGAGAAAUUUUGAAGCUUUCUUAAAAGCAUUAGUGGAGACAUAUGAAGAAUAUGAUAAGGCUUGAUAAGCGACAAUAAUGAUUUUUUUAUUACAUCAACGGUCAUAUUUUGCAUUAAUUUAUGUAUUUGAUUUUGGAUAAUUGGCUUAUGACAUCAAUUAAGAUAAAUAAGCUAUUUUAAGUUAAUUCUAUUGAAGUCUAAGAAAUAAUGUAAAAGACUUAUUAUUAUCAUUAUUUGAUUUUUAAACACUCAAUAAGGUUAUCAACUAAGUUGUGAAGUACAAUAAUCAAUUAUUUUAAUGCUAUUAUGAUCAGUGCUUAUUAACUUUGAUAAAACAACAAUUAAGAAUUUAUACUCUAUGGCUUCAACAAAUAUAUUAUUUCUAUACUCUAAAAUUAUGGAUAUGCAAAUUAAUCUAAUAUAAUAUCACGGAUACACACAUAUAAACUAAUAAUUAUCUAUAUGAUUAAGUAAAAGUAAGUAAAAUUAGGUUAAUUCCAUAAUAUCUUCUAUAGAUGCUUUAUAGACAUUACUUUGACUUUAUAGGUAUCUAUUAUUGACUUUUUAGAUUAAAAACAUAGCCAAUAAAUUGGCUAUAUGCCACAUAUAUUUGUAGCUUAAAGAACAAGCUAACUAUGUGAUUCACACGUAGAAAACUUGUCUUAUAAGCUAAGGCAUCUGUCCUGCAAGUCAACACAUAUUAGAGGUCCUAUUGAACAUCGCCAUAUAUCUCUUAGAUAGUAUAUAUAGAGGAAAGAGUGAAGUCUUCUUCACUCUUAUUAAUUCUUUUCUUGCUUCCAAUCUAGCUUUAAGAAUCUCUAAUUUUCUUAUCUUUUGGUAAUAGCCAUUCUAAUUUUCUUUUAAUAUAUAUAUUGCUUUAUUGUUAUUUUUUCACUUUUCUUUUAACACAAAUAUUUCAAAUUUAUGCAUCUUCUUCUAGUUCAUGUCCUUAAUAGAUUAAUAAGAAUAAACUUACAAUAUAAGAGCUUUAUCUUUUCUUGAUUAAGAGUGGAUUACUCCUUUUUCUUGAUAACACAUAAAAGUAUUAGAAGUUGUACAUUACCCUCUUCUAAACUUAUAUUGUACUUAGUAUCUUCUUUGUUCUCAAGUUCCCUCUUCUACUUGUCUUAAGUGAUAUUAGAUAUUUAUUUUUUAAAUAUUAUUAUAGCAAAGCUUGUUAAAAUGAAGAGUGCAAUAAUACAAAUACUAGAGAAAUUAAAAAAAUUAAUGCUUGCAAUGUAUUAACUCAAUUUACCACCAUAAAGAGCAACAAGAAUGGUAGGAAGUGAAGAUAUAGAUAUGAUUGGAGCUGUUUUAAUAUCUGUAUCCAAUCAUGUCCUUUUUCUUAGGUUAGAGUAUCCUUCCGAUAUUAGAGAAUCAAGAAUUGCCCUACUUGAGAAUUUUGAUGGCACAAGAUUCAAGUUUUCAGGAUUUAUCAAUCAAGUACAACUUGUGAUUGAACUUCAAUCCCAAAGCUAUCCAAUUUUAAGAUCAUAAGUUAGAUUCAUUAGUAUACUACUUUCAGAUUUAGCAUUAUCAUAUUGUUCAUCUUUUUUUAAAUGACAAGAUCCAAUAUUGGAUAAUUUGGAGGCUUUUUUAGUAGAGUUUUGAUUGAUAUAUAAAAAAUAUGAUACAAUUCGUGUUGCAACCAAUAAGAUCCAUAUUUUGCAAUAAAGCAAUUGAUCCAUAACAUUAUAUGCUUCACAAUUUUGACAACUUUCAACUGAUAUGAAGUGGGAUGAUGUCAUAGACAUAUAUAUUUACCUCAAUAGUUAUUUAUAUGAUUAGAUAGAAGUAGGUAAAUGUAGAUUAAUUUCAUAAAGUCUUCUUAAAAAACUUUUUAGAAGCUUCAUAGAUGCAAUUUUGAUUUUAGAUGUAUUUGUAGGUUAGAAACUUGACCAACAAGCUAACCAUGUAUUGGUAGCUUGUGGAAUAAAUUAACUAUAUGUAAUAGCUUAUGGAAUAAGUUAACCAUGUGGCGCAUACAUAAAUAACUUGUCUUGUAAGUUAAGACAUGUGGCUAGCAAAGUCAAUAUGUUUUGGAGGUCCUAUAGGACAUCGCCACGUAACUCUUAGUUAAGAGUAUAUAUGGAGGCAAGAGUGAAUCCUUCUUCACUCUUCUCAAUGCUGUUCUAUUCUUUAGUCUUUUUUCAAGUCUUUUUAGUCUCUUUGUUUUUGAGAAUAGCCAUUCUAAUUAAUAUUAUAUCAGCUUUUGAGUAACUUUCUAGUUCUCUUCAAUAACUCAAGAGUAUAUCAAGGAUUCUCUUUCUUUGAGAUUCAUGUCCCUGAUAAUUUGACAAGAGUACUAACAUACUAUUUUUUUUAUCUUAUUUUAGAAAUAAAUAGAUUAUUUCACUUCUAUUGUUGUAUUUUGAAGGUUGAGGACUAUCCAUCUUUUAAAAAAAAAAAAAUCUUAUUUUUUGAUAUUGAUCUUUCUUUAGAGAGAGUGAAUUAUCCCUCUUUGUAGAAGUUUUUAUUAGAGAUUAUAGAUUAUCCUCCUCUAAUUUAACUUUUUGGAUUUAUUUGAGUUGCCUAUGAAAGAAAAGAUUAUAGAUGCUAUACCUAGCUGAAGUGAAUAUAGAUUUACAACUAUUGUAGAUCUUCAUGAAUUUAUUAAUACUCUUAGAGUACAACUCUCAUGUAUUUCUAAUAUGAAUCAUGGAGGUAUUAUGCCUACACCUAUAAAAGAAGUUCAAAGUCUACAACAAAGAGUUGUACAAUUGAAGGAAGCAAAUUAAUCGAUGUUAUAAUCAAAUCUAGGAAGUUUUGCUUCUACAAGUUUGAUAGGGAGAAGGAUUAGUAUACAUGAGAAGUUUGAUGGAACAAGAUCAAAAUUUUGAGGAUUUUUGCAACAAGUCAAGCUUUAUCUAAGGUUGUACCUUUUUCAAUAUCUUCAUGGAUUUACUCAAGUUGGAUUCAUAGACGCAUUUCUAUUAGAAAGUGCUCUCUCUUGAUUUACUUAUUUAAUGGAAAAAGAUUUGCAACUCCUUUAUGAUUUGAAUUCAUUCCUAGAAGUGGUAUACGAUGUCGUAAUGUAUGAAGUCUUGCUUGAGAAUGCUCUGGGCACUUAGCUGUAAAAGAAAGAAUAGAAAUUACGAUAACAAAAUCCUAAUUCUAAUAGAAUACUAACAAUACUCUAAUUAGACUAUAAUAAUGGUAAACAAACGUAAUUAAAUUCAAAACAAUUCAAAGAAAUUUCAAACAAACAAUAAAAUUCUUAAAGAAAUAUUAGAAUGAACACAAAUAUUAGUCAAAUAUAUGUCAAUUCAACCUUAAUUUAAUUCUGAUUAAAACCCUAUUGAAUUUUACUCAAACUUUAGAUCAAACCUAAUUAAAUCUUAAAUCCUAAUAAAUCCUAAACCCUAAGUCAAAUCCUAAACAAAUCUUAAAUUAAACCCUAAAUCAAAUCCUAUUUCAAACCUUAAAUCCUAAACCAAACUCUAAACCAAAUCCUAAACUAAACCCUAAACUAAAUCCUAAACCAAACCUUCAACCCUAAUCCAAACUCUAAUCCAAUCCUAAAUCCUAAUCCAAAUCCUAAACCCUAAACCAAACCUUAAAUCAUACCCUUAUCCAAACCCUAAAUCAAACCCUAACUAAACCCUAAACCCUAAUCCUAAUCCUAAUCCAAAAUCUAAAUCAAACCCUAACCAAACUCUAAAUCCUAAUCCAAACCCUAAAUCAAAUCCUAACCAAACCCUAAUCCAAAUCCUAAACUCUAAAUCAAACCCUAAUCCAAAUUCUAUUAAUUCCUAUGACAGAUUUAAACCUCAAUAUCUAAUGAAUAAACUGUUGAUCUCAAUUCAAAGAUUGCAUACUUCUUAAAAAUCAAGUUUAAAACAAGUACAUAAAAAUUUGAAAAGGAUCGGAGUUACCAAAUUGACGAAAACCUCAAAAAUGUGUUUGGGUAUUAGCCAGCCUCCUUCUCCAAUCUUAAUGCCAACCUUCCAGAGCCAAUUUCUCUUCUUUGCACCGUUCGAUUAGUUUCAAAUUUCUCAUGGACAUAGAAAAACAAGUCUAAUACCCUCUCACAUAAGUUUUACUCCAAUCCAACUAGUAGAUUGCAUGAAAUCUUUAAAAUCCUCACUGGAUCUAAAAUUCUACUUUCUGAGACCUUGACCCGCUUAAAUGUCAAUAUCUCUUACUUCAACCGUUAGAUCGAGCUCAAAUUCACAACAUGUAUUAAACACAACUAUUAUCAUGAAUGCAAAAAAAAUCACUCGUAGAUCUGCAACCAAACUCUCGAAAUCACUCAAAACAUAAAUCCUAUUUUAUUUCAUAAAACCCAAGUCAUCCAAAACAAACCUCUUUUUUGCAAAGCUCUUACAAAGUCAUAUCAACUUCAAAUCACCCAAAAUCAAUGCCCAUAAAAAUCCUAUCCAAUCUUCUAUCAAAUCUCACUCUCCGAUCUGCCAAAGAGUCUUUUAGUCGUCGUCGAGAUGCGGUUUUGUGCCUCAGGGUCUGAUUUCGACCCUGGUUCAUAACCGGCCCUCUCCGGGUAUCAACUUUCAUCUUCUUGAGGCAAUUUUUACUAAUUUGCACUUCUAACUCCUCCCUACAUAUGUCUAUAUCUUUUAUUUUUCUAAUCAACCUUGUUUUGUCUUAUUUAUGGCCUUACAAAGUAAAUAGAAGCAUAAUUUGUAAAAAGGCAGCAUUAGCACCUUUAAUUUUUCUACAUUUUUACUAAUAUCUAUUUUUCCAAGAUAGUUUGCUAUAAUAUUUUUGAAGUGAGAUCCUCAAAAUAUGAUAUAUUUCUUCACCCUUUCACCUACUAGUCAUAUUACAUCACGACAAUGGUGACAUUCAAAGAAAAAAAUCGAGAACAAGCAGUAGAGACCAAAUUCUUAUCUUUACAAUAAGGAUCACAAUCAACCACCACAUAUGCUGCUAAAUUCCAAAACCUUGCUUGCGAUAAGGACUAAAAUUAUAAAGCAGUUAGCAAUCAAUUUUAAUAUAGAUUAUAGGAUAGUGUUAAAGAUUUAUUAUUAAUAAUAUCAAAAAUAGAAUCUUUGAAAGAAUUUAUUGCUCAAGCCAUUGCAUGUGACAAUCGAUUAUUUGAAAGGUGUCAAGAACAAAGACUUUGCUAGAGAAGAAAAAGUCAAGUAAUGGCAACAUCUUUUAAGUUUUCUGAAACGUAUUCAUCAAAGUUGGAAUUAAUACAAAUUGAUACAAUAUGUUUUGAAACUCUCAUAGAGCAAGAAAAGAUUUGAUGUCACCAAAAAGAUUUAUGUUUAUAUUGUGGAGAAGCUAAGUACACUAUUCAAUAUUUUCCAAAGAAACAACACAAUUACAAAAUAAAGAACACAAUUACCAAAGAAGAUAAUGUGUCAAAAAAUAAAUUUCUCCAGCUACAACAGGGAUGGUGUGAUUAGAAUCAUGUACAACAUCUAGCAAAGGUCUUAUUCUCUCCUCAAAUCCGUCACCUUGUUUUAUAAUAGAUGUAUAUUUAGGACCUAAAAAUCACAAAUUCCUUGCCUUAUUAGAUUCAAGAGCCUUAGCCUAUUUUAUAGAUGAAGAUUUUGUCAAAAAUCAAAAAAUACCUUUAAUAAAAAAAACUAAAUCCAUACAUGUAGAAGUCAUAGAUGGUUGUUCGUUGUCUUCUAGAAAUGUUAUUCAUAAGAUUCUUCCUUUAGAUGUAACAAUUAAAGAUCAUAAAAGUAUAGUAGUAUUUAAUGUAAUAAGAUCUCCUUCCAAUCUAGUUAUUUUAGAAUUAUCACCGCUAAAAAAAUAUAACUAUUAAAUAGAUUGGAUUUCUCGUAACCUUAAUUUUUUUGAUAGUAUAAUCCAAGAUCAAGUUAGUAAAGUAGAAGUACAAAAGUCUAGUACUUCUAAACUUUUAUUACUAAGUACAAGAGCUUUCUUCCAUAUUGCAAAUGAAAGAUCAUCUUUUGUUAUAUAUGCUAUGCCUAUUUCUAAUGGUGAAAAAAUGUCAAGUGGUAUUCUUAGCCAAUAUAAAGAAUUUCAAGACUUUUUUGAAAAGAAAAAUAUAGAUAUUCUUCCAAAGCAUUAACUUUAUGAUUAUUUAAUUGAUUUGCAAGAAAGAACUCAACUACUAUUUGGACCAAUCUAUAGCUUAUCGCAAAAUGAGUUAGUUGUAUUAAAAGAGUAUAUUGAUGAGAAUUUGGAAAAGAACUUCAUAUGCCAUUCUAAUUCUCCAGUCGGAGCUCCUAUCUUAUUUGUAAAGAAAAAAGAUAAAUCUCUAUAGAUGUAUGUGGAUUAUCAAGGACUCAAUAAGAUCACCAUCAAAAAAAGGUAUCCUUUGCCUUUGAUUUCAAAACUUCUUGACCAACUGAAUCAAGCAAAGAUCUAUAUUAAAAUAGAUCUAUGAAGAGCAUAUAACUUAGUUCUUAUCAAAGAAAGAGAUGAAUGGAAGACUACUUUUUGAACUAAGUAUGGAUAUUUUGAAUAUAAUGUCAUGCCUUUUGGACUCACGAAUAUACUAACCACUUUUCAACAUCUUAUGAAUGAUAUUUUUCAUGAAUUUUUAGAUGAUUUUAUUAUUUUCUAUUUAGAUACCAUUCUAAUUUAUUCUAAGAAUACAAAAGAAGUUUAUGUUUGUUGUGUGCUACAAAAACUUAGAGAUACAAGAUUAUAUGCCAAGUUAGAAAAGUGUAUAUUCUACACUACUUAAGUUGACUUUUUAGUACAUCAUUUCCAAUGAAGGUCUUAUGAUGGAUCUUAAGAAGGUCCAAACUAUCAUAGAUUAGAAGAUUCUAAGAAUAGUAUAAGAUAUACAAUGCUUUUUAGGCUUUGCUAAUUACUACCGAAUGUUCAUCAAGAACUUUUCUCAAGUUGCAGCUCCACUUAUAUGUUUGACUUGUAAAAACAAACUUGAGUGGAAUAAAGAAGUAGAAGCAUCAUUUGAUGCUUUAAAGAAAAAAUUUAUAUUUACACCAAUCUUGUAUCAUGUCAACUUUUCGAGGUAUUUUUUAUAGAAAUAGAUGUGCCAAAUUUUGCUAUGGGUGCUAUGUUGUUACAAAUGAAAACAGAUGAUAAAGUCCAUCUAGUAGCUUUUCAUUCCAAAAAAUUUUCAAUAGUCAAAAUUAUUUAUGAGAUCCAAGACAAAGAGCUCUUUGCAAUUGUAGAUUCAUUUUAAGAAUGGCAUCAUUAUCUAGAAGGUGCUUCAAGUCUAAUUAACGUAUAUAUGGAUCAUAAGCACUUUGAGUAUUUCAUUUCAGUACGUGUUUUGAAUUGUCGUCAAGUCCAUUGAAGCAUGUCUUUAUCUAGAUUCAAUUUCAAGAUCACUUAUUGAUCCAAAAAACAACAAAGUCUAUCAGAUGCCAUUUUAGACAUUCUUAUCUUACACAAAAAGAAAGAGAUGCAUCUUUUGAUCAACAAAGAACAAUUCUCUUAAAGUCCAAGCAUUUUCAUCUUUGAGCAAUAAAAUCAAUAUUGAUUGUUGAUUCAAUCUUUAUCAAGCAAAUUCAAUUAAUUAUGUCCUUUGAUCCUCUUAUUCAUUAUAUCAAGAAUCUUUUUUCUAAUUCUUAUGAUAUUUCAAAGUUCAAAUUCAAGAACAAUCUUCUUUAUUUCAAAAGAUGCCUAUAUGUUCCAAAAAAAAAAGUACGUUUAUGUGUUCUUCAAGCACAUCAUGACUUUUCAACAGCAAGACAUUUUAGAUACAAUAAGACUUUAGAGCUUAUAUCUAGAGAUUUUUAGUGGCUACAAAUGUGGAAGACAAUAAAAGACAUUAUACAAUCAUGUGAUACUUAUUUAAGAUCCAAAAUUCCUCGCCAUAGAUCUUAUGGACUGCUUCAACAAUUACCUAUUCCAAAACAAUCAUGGUCUUGUGUUUCUAUAGAUUUUAUCACGGAUCUUUCAGUCUUAAGUUCACAUGAUUUCAUAUUUGUAAUUGUAAUACUUUUGACUUUUUAAAUGUUGAUAAUCCUAUGGUAGAAGAUUUAGCAAAUCAUUUGUCAAAGCUAUAUGCAACAAUAAAGAUACAAUUAAAAGAAGCUCAAAGACACUAAAAGACCAACGCAGAUGCUUAUUGCAAGGAGCAAUCAUAAUUCAACAUAGGUAAUAAGGUAUAGUUAUUUUGUCACAAUAUCAAGAAAACUCAUCUUUGUAAUAAGUUAGACUAUCGUAGGCUAAGACCUUUUUCUAUUUGUGAAUAAAUCAAUCAUGUUGCUUAUCGAUUACAUCUACUAAAGUCUAUGAAGAUCCAUCAUAUAUUUUCUUAUCCCUCUUCGAGCCAUAUAAGAUAGUGGAUAUUUUGGAAAGAAGACAAAUACUACCUCCCCCUAUAGAAGUAGAUAAUAAUCAAGAAUUUGAAGUAGAAGAAGCUUUAGAUUCAAGGCUGCAUCAAAAUAGAUUGAAAUAUCUUGUUCAUUAGUGUGGAUUUGAUCUUAGCAAAUACACAUGGGAGCUAGCAAAGAAUCUUGCAAAUAAAACAUAGAAGAUUGAGGCCUUUCACUGACGACAUCCAUCAAAAUUAAGAUAAAGAAUUGCAAAGAUCUAUGAAAGAUAAUGACCGCUCUUUGUGGAAUUCAUCUCUAGAAGAGGGGAUAAUAUCACGAACAUAUACAUUUACCUCAAUAAUUACUUAUAUAAUUAAGUAGAAAUAGGUAAAUAUAGAUUAACUUCAUAAAGUCUUUAAGAAAAGCUUCUUAGAAGCUUUAUAGAUGCGAUUUUGACUUUAGAUGUGUUUGGAGGUUAGAAACUUGGCCAACAAGCUAAUCAUGUAUUGAUAGCUUGUAGAACAAGUUAACUCUAUGUAAUAGUUUGUGGAACAAAUUAACUUCAUGUAAUAGCUUGUAGAACAAGCUAACCAUGUGGCACAUACAUAGAUAACUUGCCUUGUAAGUUAAGACAUGUAGCUAGCAAAGUCAACAUGUUUGGAGGUCCUAUUGGACAUCGCCACAUAGCUUCUAGUUAAGAGUAUAUAUGGAGGCAAGUGUAAAGCCUUGUCAAUGCCAUUUUAGUCCUUAGUCUGGUUUUAAGACUUUUUAGUCUUCUUAGUUUUUACAAUAGCCAUUCUAAUUAAUAUUAUAUUACCUUUUGAGUGAUUUUCUAGUUCUUUUCAAUGAUACAAGAGUCUAUUGAAGAUUCUCUUUUUUUAAGAUUCAUAUCCUUAACAAAUGAUACUGCACUUAUUAGCCAAUUUUUCUAUAAAUUAUAAUAUGAGGUAAAGAAAUUGAUGCUCAACUUACUUACUCUUCAAACAUUGAGUCAAGCAAUUGACUUUGUUGUGAAGUGUGAUAAUCAACUUUUUGAAUUUCAAUCUGAGAGUCGGAUAAGCAAACCUCAACUUUAUUAUAAUUCAAUGGCAACACUAAUGCCUCUUCAAUACAUACAUUCAAAAGUAGAGGAUAUGCAAAUUGAUGUAGUACGUUUCAAACCUCUUAUUGAGCAAAAAAAGACUCAUCACCAUCAGGAAGGAUUAUACUUAUAUUAAGGAGAAUCUAAGCUCACUAUUCAACAUUAUCUAAAGAUAUGAUACAAUUAUAAAAUGAGGAAUACAAAUAUCAAAAAAUAUAAUAUAUCAAAAAAUAAGUUUAUCCACCUACAAUAGAGAGUGUGCAACUGGAAUCUUGUGCAAUACCUAAUGAAGGUCCUAUUCUCUCUUUAGAACCCUCUUAUUAUUUUAUAUUAAAUAUUAUUUUAGGACCUAUAUAUUACAAAGCCUCUGCCUUGUUAGAUUCAAAAGCCUCAUCAUGUUUCUUAAAUGAAGAAUUUGCUAAAAGACUUAACAUAUCUUUAGUAAAAAAACCUAAAGAUGUUCACAUAAAUAUCAUAGAUGGUUGCCUAUUAUCUUCUAGAGAUAUUACUCACAAAACUUUUCAUAUAGAAAUAAUAAUCAAUGAUUAUAAUAGCUUUGUGGUAUUUAAUAUCAUUAUAUCUCCCUCUAAUCCAAUCAUUUUAGAUUUAUUGUGAUUAGAAAAAUACAACCUUUGAGUAGAUUGGAUUUCUCGUAAUCUCAAUUUUUUUAAAAGUAUUAAUAAGAGUAUAGUUAAUCAUGUAAAAAAUCACAAGUCUAGUAUAAUUAAAUCUAUAUUUGUAGAUGCAAGAGCUUUCUUGCAUGCUGCAAAAAAAAAGAUUAUCUUGUGUCAUUUAUGCCACACCUAUUUCUAAUAGUGCAAAGACUUCAAGUGGCAUUCCAUGCCAAUAUCAAGAAUUUCAAGAUGUAUUUGAGAAAAAAAAACGUAGAUACUUUUGCAGAACAUCAUUCCUAUGAUUGCUCAAUUGACCUUCAAAAAAGAGCUCAACUGCCAUUUGGACCAAUCUGUAAUUUAUAACAAAAUGAGUUGGCUGAAUUCUAGGAGUAUAUUGAAGAGAAUCUAGCGAAGAACUUCAUACGCCAUUCUAAAUCUCCAACAAAAGCCUUAAUUCUAUUUUUGAAGAAAAAAGAUGGAUCAUUACAGAUGUAUGUUGAUUAUUUAAGACUCAAUAAGAUCACCAUCAAGAAUAGGUGUCAUAAACAUACACAUGUAAGCCAAUAAUUACUUGAAUAAAUAGAUAGAAUUAAGUAGAAGUAGAUAAAAAUAAGUUAAUUCUAUAGUAUCUUUUACAGAAGCUUCUUAGAAGCUUCAUACAUACUGCUUUCAUUUCAUAGGUGUCUAUAAUUGAUUUUUUGGGUUAAAAAAUAAGUCAACAAAUUGGCCAUGUGCCACACAUAUUAUUAGCUUGAAGACCAAGUUAACUAUAUAACCUACACGUAAAAAAAAUUACCUUGUAAGUCAAGGCAUGUGUCCUACAAAGUCAACACAUAUUGGAGGUCCUAUAGAACAUUGCCAUGUAAUCCCUACUUAGACAAUAUAUAUAGAGAUAAGAGUGAAGCCCUCUUGUGAGCUCUCAAUUAUACUCUAAAAUUUAAAUUUUUAUUAUUUUCUUAUUUUAUGAUAAUUGAGCAUAUAAGAUUAGGAUUUAUAUAAGUGGAAUUUAGUUUUAUAUAAUUUUUAGGAUUACAACCCUUGAUGGUAUAAAUUAUAGCCUAAUUUAUUGAAUUAGGUUAAUUAGAACUAAAGUGAUAAGACUUAGAAAAUUAGAAUAGCAACUUAGUUAGUUUAAUAACUUAGAGGUUGUUAGUCAUUACUAUGAGGGUUGAUUAAAAGCCUAUGAGUGCACCUAUAAUCAUUCACAUGAUUUAGGAGUUGGAAUUUUAAUUCUCUAAAAGAUUUAGUGAAGAAAGAAAUGAUAAAUUUGAGUUUUUUUCCAAAUUUGAUAAAUUCAAGCGGCAUAGUAGUUCUUCUAAUUAAUGGGAGUCUUUUUAAUGCAAUGGUGGCAUUGUAUUUACCCCGUGGAGUGAAGAAAACAAGAUCAGCACCCUUUCCUUCAAAAUUCAAAUGAAGCAAUGAAAUUCUCAUUUUGAAGAAUUUUACAAAAAACUGCCAUGAUCCUUGUAAGUAAAAACUUCAAUAAAAAUUAUAAUUUAGCAUGGAUUGAAGCAUGUGAGUAGUCGAUCUUAGCUCAAAAAUAUGUCUUGAAAAAAAUGGUGAAGUUAGAUUUAUCAAAAAAUGCUUUCUUCACCACUUACAAGAGCCAUUAGCCCUAGUAACGAGAUUGGCUCUUAGAUGAAUGAAGGCCAUAGAUCUAGAUUAGGGAUCUUAAAAAUCAAGGGUGGAGAUAUAGCCACCCUUCUACGAGCCUCCACUCAAUUAUUUAAGAGAGGCUUGGUUUUCCAAACUCUCUCUCUCUCUUCUUUUGGAUGAAGGGCAAAGCCAUGCCAAAAUUUGGCCAAAAUCCUAAUCUUAAUUUUGUUUAGACUUAAAAACUCAUCUUGAACCUUGUGAUUGUAUGUAUAUGGAUUUUGAAUUAUGAAGGAUGGUCAUUAAGUUUUAAAAGAUGCUUCAUUGAGAUAGAUAGCUCCCUCGGCCUCCUCAAAUAUCCCAAGGGUUUCAAGGCCCUCGGAUUUUUCUCAAUCAGUUACUCAAUUUAUUUUUUUUAUGAAAGUAAAAUUUCAAAUAGUUGUAGCUUUUUUUGUUAGCUUUUCAACAAGAUAAGACUUGCUUGAUUAAGAGUAAGAAGGAAUUUUUGGUGAAUUUUUGAGUGUAAGGGAGUCGACUGCCUUUGCAGUUUGGAUCAAUCGAGUUUGGAAAGGAAUUUCUCAGUGCCUGAUAAUUGGCUUCAUUUGAAAUUUUGGGAGCAUCAAGAUUUAUAAGUUAAGCUCUGCAAGGCUCAAGUUUUGUUGGAUUUGAAGACAAUCUGAAUUUUAAUUGAAUUUCUAAGUGAAGAGGAUUAGUCGUCGAGGCAGUUUAGAUCACUCAACUUAAUAGGGAGGAAUCUUCAUCAUUGGAUCAUUAGAUUGCAACAAAUUUUUUAGGAUCAAGAGCGCCUUUAAGUUAGUCUUGCAAUAAGUUAAGAAUCAUUCAAAUCAAAGCUGAUUACAAAUUUUGGCAAAUUUUGGAGUAGAAGGAGGUCACUGCCUUCAAUCCUCACGUGUUGUCAAGGUACCUUCGCUUUCAUCUCUUAUUUUAUUUUUACUAAUACCUUCAUAAUGAAUUGUAAUCUCUAUAUUUCACCUUUUGGCUAAUAAAUUUUAAGUUUUAAGUUUUAAUCUUUAAUAUUGUCAUUUUAACUUUUAACUUUAAGUUUUAAUUUAAACUUUUAAACUUAAUUUUUAAUUUUUACUUUUUAACUUAACCCUUUAAUUUUAACUCUUAUCUUAACCCUUUAAUUUAAACUUUCAACUUAACUUUUUAAAUUUAACUUUUAACUUAACUUUUAAUUUUUAACUUUUAACUUAACUUUUAAUAUUUAACUUUAAUUUUUUUACUUAACUUUUAACUUUUAACUUUAACUUUUUAUUUAACUUUUAACUUUAAAUUUUUUACUUAACUUUUAACUUUAAUUUUUAAUUCAAACUUAAGUUUUUAUUCUUACUAUCAAUUAAUAUAACAACUUAGUCAAUUAUUUUUUUCCUAUGUUUGCAUAGUAAAUUUCAAUUAAUAUUUUAAUUUAAUAUCGAUAACCAUUGCUUAGAAGGCAUUAUUGUAUCGCAUGAUUUGCUAUUUGGGAAUACACUCGGUAUUUAGCUGUAGAGAGUUUAAUUAAAACUUUUAUAUGAAUCUUGUAUUAGCUUCCAAAACUCCUUUAUUUUGCAUAAAAUUCAAAAUAUAGCAAAAUCCCUUCAAAAUAUAUUUUUCUCGCCAAGAAUUCUUCCUGAAUUUUAGAAAUUCAUAACUCUUGAUCUAAUGGUUCAUUUUGUUUCAAAUUUAUAGGAUAGGUAGAAUUCACCUUUAAAUUUUAUCACAAAAAAAUCUAAUUUCAAAUUCACUGCCAAGCUUAUAGCAUCUAAGAAUCCCUGGUAGAUGCUCUAAACCCUAAUUUACAAGCACUUGAGCACUAUUUUCUUAAUAUUUUAAGAAUUCAAUAUUCAAAUGCCUUCAAACUUAUGUACAAAUUUUACUAACAUAUAUAUUCACAUUUUCUGAAAUUUUGAGUCAAAAUAUUUUCAAAUUACUCAAGAUAUAAUUCAAGAUACAACCACUAGUAAAUCGGGUCACUUACUACCCUUAGAUUGCAUGUGCUAACUUCAAAAUACAAUAUCUCCUUCAUUUCAAUUUGGAAUUGAGCAAGCAAUAAAGAAAAAGUAUAGCUGCAAAAUUGCUCUCUCUAGUUGCAGGUGUCGAUCCUCAAUUGCCAUCCGUACACUUGUGUUAUGUUAAAAAGGAGGAUAGUAGCUUCCAAAGCAAUACCUAAACUUUGAGCACAUAGAUCUUUUUUAUAUAAACUCCAAAUCAUAUAUGAUUUGGACCAAAACCAUAGCCAAAAAUCUGAGCUCUCUAAUUCUAGUCUUCAAAGUUUAAAUGGCUCCAAAAAGUUAACCCUAAUCUCUAAUUAAUCCUCGUGUAGCCUCUUCAAAGCCCAUUGGUCAUGUUUUUUGACCAAUAGGAAUGGAAAUUUUCAUCAUCCAUCUCCAUUCAUCUAUAUAGAUGCCUUAAACUCUCUUUUUAUUACCAAAAUUCCUCUCCAACUCUUUUUUUUAUAAGAUUUAUUCAAUGUAUGCCUUAAACAUCAAAUUGAAGUACCAAAAUAAGACUUCAAGGAUCACCAAUGUCUAAUAAAGGUGAUUCUAAAUAUUUAAAGUUACUACCAAAAAAAUCAAUCUCAAAAGCCAUUAUCAAAAGAAAAUAAAGUUAUACAAAUUUUAAUAAUAAUCCUUUUAAACAACCUCCUUUUAAAGUAGUAAUUUAACCACAUUCUACAACUAACUAAAAUCUAGUAACAUGGCUCUCACCAUGUUGUUAAGUAAAUUAUACAUUAAAUACAUAAUUUCAUUAUUUUAAUAUCGUAGCCAAAUCAUAAUACAAUAGCAUUAAUUUGAAUUGAAUUACAAAUAUGUACAUUUAAAUUAAAUUAACAAUUUCACAAUUGGGAGUCCUUCCAUUCCACCCUAUGAAUCUGUUAUGUGGCAUCAAUUUAAUGAGUGGUGAAUUUGAGGCUUACACUUCUUCACUCUUAUCAACUCCUUUCUUGCUUCUAGUCUAAUUUCAAGCGUCUCAAGUUUCCUUGUCUUUUGGCAAUAAGCUAUUCUAGUUUCUUCUAAAUAUAUGUAUUUCUUUAUUUUUAUUUUGUCACUCUUUCUUUCAUACGAAUUUCAUUGAUUUAUGCAUCACCUUUUAAUUUAUGUCCUUGAUAGAUUGAUAAGAGUACACUUACAAUAUCAAAGCUUUGUCUUGUAUUGAUUAAGAGUGUAUUAUUCCUUUCUCAUAAUAAGACAUAAGCAUAUUAGAAGUUGUGGAUUACCAUCUUCUAAACUCAUAUUAUUCUUAGUAGUUUCCUUGUCCUCAAGUCCUUUCUUCUACUUAGCUUGAGUAAUAUUAGAUAUUUUUUUUAUUGUUAUUAUGGUAGAUCUUGUUGAAAUGAAGAGUGCAAUGGCACAAAUGCAAGAGUAAUUGAGAGAAUUGAUGCUUACGAUGCAUCAACUUAGCUUACCACCACAAAGAUCAAUAAAAAUGGCAAGAAGUGAAGAUAUAGAGAUGAUUAGAGCUACUUCAACAUCUGCACCAAAUCAUGUCCCUCCACCCACAAUAGAACAUCUUUAAAGUAUUAGAAAACCAAGAAUUUCCUUGUCCGAGAAAUUUGAUGGUACAAGAUCCAAAAUUUGAGGAUUUAUCAAUUAAGUAAAACUUGUGAUUGAACUUCAACUUCAAAGCUAUCUAAUUCUAGGAUCACAAGUUAGAUUCUUUGGUGCACUUCUCUCAAAUUCAGCACUAUCAUGGUUUUCAUCUUUUCUUGAAUGACAAGAUCUAAUAUUGGAUAAUUUUGAGAUAUUUUUGAUAAAAUUUUGGCCUGUGUAGGAAAAACAUGAUGCAAUUCAUAUUGCAACCAAUAAGAUCAAUAUUUUAUAACAAAGCAAUCAAUUUAUAACAUUAUAUGCUUUCCAAUUUUGACAACUUAUAAUUGAUAUCAAGUGGGAUGAUAGUACAUUUAUUAGCCAAUUUCUCUAUGGAUUAUAAUAUGAAGUAAAAAAAUUGAUGCUCAACUUACGUUAUGCUCAAACAUUGAAUCAAGCAAUUGCCUUUGCUGUGAAGUGCGAUAAUCAACUUUUUGAAUUUUGAUCUGAGAGUCGCAUAAAUGGGCCAUAAUGUUACUACAAUUCAAUGACAAUACCAACAUCUCUUCAAUAUAUAUAUUUAGAAGUAGAGGAUAUGUAAAUUGAUGUGGUACAUUUUAAACCUCUUAUUAAGCAAGAAAAGACUCGUUGCCAUCAAGAAGGAUUUUACUUAUAUUAUGGAGAAUCUAAACACACUACUCAACAUUAUCCAAAGAAGCAACAAAACCAUAAAAUGAAGAGCACAGCUAUCAAAGAAGACAAUGUGUUAAAAAAUGAAUUUCUCCAACUAUAAUAGAGACCUUGUAGUUGAAAUCUUAUACUAUUUCUAAUGAAGAUCUUAUCUUCUCCUUAGAACCCUCUCUUUAUUUUAUAAUAGAUGUAUAUUUAGGACCUACUAAUUAUAAAGUCUCUGCCUUGAUAAAUUCAGGAGCCUCAACUUAUUUUUGAGACCUAGAAUUUGUUAAAAGUUAUAAAAUAUCAUUACUACAAAAAACUUAAUCUAUUCAUGUAGAAGUCAUAGAUGGUCAUCCAUUGUCUUCUAGAGAUGUUACUCAUGAAAUACUUCCUAUAGAUGUAGCAAUAAAUGGUCAUAGUAGAUAUAUAAACUUUAGUAUAAUUAGAUCUUUCUCUAAUCAAGUCAUUAUAGGUUUAUUGUGGUUAGAAAAAUAUAAUCCUUGCAUAGAUUGGAUUUCUCAUACUUUUGAUUUCUCUAAAAGUAUAACUAAAAGUGAAAUUAAUCGAGUUGAAAGUCAUAAGUCUAGCAUAAUAAAACCUAUUGUAGGUACGAGAGCUUUCUUGCAUGUUGCAAAAGAAGGAUUAACUUGUAUUAUUUACAUCACACCUAUUUCUAAUGAUGCAAAGACUUCAAGUGGCAUUCGAAGCCAAUAUUAAGAGUUUUAAGAUGUAUUUGAGAAGGAGAAUGAAGAUACUCUUUCAAAACAUCAUCCCUAUAGCUACUCAAUUGAUCUUCAAGAAGGAGCACAACUGCCAUUUGGACCAAUUUGUAGUUUAUCACAAAAUAAAUUGGCUGAACUCAAAGAAUACAUUGAAGAAAAUUUGGCCAAGAAUUUUAUAUGUUAUUCUAAAUCGCCAACAGGAGGUCCAAUCUUAUUUGUGAAGAAGAAAGAUGGAUCAUUAUGGAUGUGAGUUUAUUAUUGAAAAUUCAAUAAGAUCACCAUCCAGAAUAGGUACCCUCUACAGUUGAUAUCAAGACUUCUCAAUCAACUCAAUCAAGCUAAGAUCUACACAAAAAUAGAUCUAUAGAGAGUAUACAAUUUAGUAUGUAUUAAAGAAAGAGAUGAAUGGAAGAUUUUAUUUCAAACUAGAUAUGGACAUUUUGAAUACAAAAUUAUUGUGGGGAAUAAUUGCCUUGAAAAAACACCGGAUUUCUUAUUGCUAUUGAUUGCUCUACUAUAUUGUAACUCUAGAACAUUCAUAAUACUCUAUAAAAUAUGAAUCCUUUGUAAAAUUCAAUUGCUUUCAUAUCAAAAAAUCCCUUCCUUUAAACACUUACAAAACAAAACACAAGAGAAUCAAAACUCCCCUAAAAAAUUCUUAUAUCCCAUUUUUAAGACAAUUGCUCUUUUUUUCCCAAAAUUCCCAAUUCUAAACUCUAACUCUAUCUCUAAAUCCUAAAUCCUAACUCUAUCUCUAAACCCUAAAUCCUAAACUUUACUUCCAAAUCCUAAAUCCUAAGCCCUUUUAUUUUUAUUUGAGUAUGUAUAUGUCUUAAAAGAAAAAAGAAAAAAUUAGGAUUGAGGAUUCUUGAUGAUUGAUACUAUCUCACUUUAAGCCACUAUUAACUUCUAGCUUCUUCUUUUUUAAAAGAAGCUAUAUAUCAAUCUAUCAUAAAGAUGAAUAUAUAGAAGACAUGGACAUCACAUAUCAUGCUACUAUUAAGAGAUAUUUCUUACUUCCACCCAUAGGUGAUAAGUGUCCUUAUAACCUAAUAUAAUCUCCUAAUGUAAGCAUUGUAGAGCCAAUCCUUUGAAUAUCCUCAAUAAAUUAAUUAAAGAUUUUUAAAGAAUAUUCUUUUUUCAUCUCUCCCCAUGUACUUCCAUGGAGAUUUGAACUCGAGACGUCUUAAGUGCCAUCAAUGCACCUUAUCAUCCAUCCACUCCACAAGCCUAAAUUACUAGAUGUCAAUAGUCUCAAUUCUUCUCCCUAUAAGCUUGUUGCUUGACAUCUUUUCUUUCUUUAAAUCAUUAUUUCUCACAAACUAUAAUCUAUUUUUUUAUAAAAUUUUGUAUACCUAUUUAUAGAUCUAUUAAAAAUAUAUUCAAAUUUUUUUACAUUAAAUGGAUACUUUAAAAAUUAAUUAUCUUAAAUCCUAAUUUCUCCUUAUAUAAACUUACUUUUAAUUUUUAACAACUAUAAUACUUAUUGCUAAUAGAAUUCACUCAUUUAUAUAUAUUUUUAUUAAUCUUUAUUCUAUUAUAAUAUUUAAUUAAAUAAUUAAUUCUUAUUUCUAAUUUUUUUUCAAAAAUAUUUUAUUAAAUAAAAAAACAUAAGUUAAGAACUAAUAGAUUUAAUAAUUUUAAUCUAGUUUUUAUUUAUCGUACUCAAACAAGAUAUGACAUCCACCAUCUCCAAUCCUGCACAUCCUCCAAGGUUGUGUUGUAAUAUAACUAUAUGAUAAAAGAUAAUAAUAUGGAUCUUAUUAUAAAAGAGCUAAGUUAAAAAAUAAAGUAGAAAAAUAUGGAUAAAAGAUAGGAAGGUAGUAAAACUUUUAGUAGUAAUGUUGUCUUUUUUAAAAAAUAGCUUCUACUUACUUUGUAGGGCCAAAAAUAAAGCAAAAUAAGGUAGAUUGGAAACAUAAAAGAUGUAAACAUCUUAAGAAGGAAGUUAAGAGUAAAUUUUAGCAAAAAUUAUCUUAAAAAAUUAGAUAUUGAUACCCAAAAAAGGCCGAUUAUGAACCUGGGUUUAAAACAGAUCCCAACUCACAAAAUAGAGUUCCAACGACGAUUCGUAGAUUCUUUUGCAAAUUGGAGAAUGGAAUUUGAUAGUAGACUAGAUAAGGUUUCUAUUAGUAUUAGUUUUGGGCAAUUUGAAUUUUUAUUGACUCUGUAAGAGCUUUAUAAAGUCAAAUUUGUUUUUGGAUGACUUACAUUUUGUGAAAUAAAAUAGGAUUGAUAUUUUGGACAAUUUAAAGAGUUUUGUAAUAGAUCUAUGGAUAAAAUUCUAUGGAAUAAUGGUUAUAUUUGUGCUUAAUAUGUAUUGUAAUUAUUAGCUUCAUCUACAAGUUGAAGUGAGGAUUAUUGAGAUUUAAGUGGAUGAAGGUCUCAAAAAGUAGAAUUUUAGAUCUAGUGAGGGUUUUUAAGAUUUAUUGCAAUCUAAUAUUUGGAUUGGAGUGAAAUUUAUGUGUAAAGAUUUUAGAGUUGUUUUACUAUAUAUAUGAGAAUUUUGGGAUCAAUUGAAUGGUAAAAAAGAGAGAUAUUGGCUUUGGUCUACUGAAGCUUGAAUGCAACGAGAGCAACAAUGACCAAUCCUUGUAAAACUCGUCCUUAAAAAGAAGAAAAAUGUCAUGAACAUAGAUACUUACUCUAAUAUUUACAUAUAUGAUUAAGUAGAAGUAUGUAAAAAUAGAUUUAUUUCAUAAUAUUUUUAAAAAAAGCUUCCUUAAAGCUUUGUAGACAUUGCUUUGAUUUUAUAUAUAUUUGUAGUUGAACUUAUCACCUCUCUUUGGUCUCUUUUACAAAAAUCCAUCUUUAAAAAGAUAGUCAUAUGAUUGAUGUCAAAUAUCCUUAAAAGACUUAUCCAACCAACCUUCUUGCCUCUUUAUUGUAUUUAAAUAAAUUCCAAUAUCUUUAAGCCUCCCUUCAUAUAAAUCCUUUUUGAAGGCUUCAAUCUUUUCAUUUCUACUCACUUCUUCAAUGACAAAUGAAUAUCCAUAGGUCUUUUUAUUUCUAUCUUCAAGAGCCAUCAUCUCUUCUUCACCAAUGUAUCUAGCUCUAGAUAACAUAUCUGCUACCAAAUUAUCUUUGCCAGUGAUGUGCUUCAAAACCGGAUUUAAUAUUCAAAUAAAAGCUAUCCAUCUUAACAUAGCAAUAUCCAUAGUAGAAUAAUUACUUAUCAUACUAAGUAAAGGUAGACAAUCCGUUUUCAAAACCACAUUUGCUCCAAUCAAAUAAUUUCUCUCAACCUUUAAUACUGUAAGUGCUCCCCAAAGUUUCCGCUUAACUUGUGGAUAUGCUCUUUGUCUAUCUGUAAGAAUUUUGGCUCUAAACCUUAUAACAAAUCUCCUCCUUUCUUGAUCAUUUUGUCCAAUAGUCCAUCCAAUUGCUAUUGGACUAGUAUCCACCUUUACUACUAAGCCUUCCACAUUGAUAAUCCACUUGUUUAAAGAGAGGUGGUGAAGUUAAAAUCUUCUUUAAAUUUUCCAUAGCUUCUUCAUAUUCCUCCUUUCAAAUAAACUUUUUACCUUUUCUUAAUAACUUGUAUAGUGGUUCUGAAAUGUCGACAAAAUGAGGCACUCAAAUAUGAUAAAAUACACAUGCACUCAAAAAACUUCGAACUUCGGUAAUACUAUUGCAUGCUUUCAUUUUAGAUAUAGCAUUAAUCUUAUCUGAUUUUAGUUUUCUACCAUAUUUUCUACAUAUAUGUUCCACUACUAGAAUUUCUUUGACUCCAAAAGUUGAUUUCUUCAAAGAUAGUGUUAACUUUACAGAUUGAAGCUUCUUCAAUAUUUGAGCCACAUCUUCAAUAUGUUUCUUAAUAAAUAUUCUACAACCAUUUGUAUUAAUAGUUUUAUUUCUUUUUUUAUAUUUGUAAUCUUUUAUUAGUAUAUCAUUCAAAAAUAGAAUGGUAUUCUCUAACAUAAAUUCUUUCAAUAUAUGGUUUAUUACAUUUUUCAUAUGAGCCACUGAAUUGGUUGCACCUUGAGGUAAAGUACACAUUCUCAUCAAACCCAAAGGAGUUUUCAUCGUUGUAAGAUCUCUAUUUUCUUCUGCAAAUUGGAAUUAAUAAUUCCUUGAAUAUAAGUCUCCAAUAGAAUAGAUAGCAUGACUACAAAAUUAUUCUGCUACUUCAUCUACAACUGGUCUAGAUCCCAUAUUUCUAAUGCUUACCUUGUUUGUUGGUUGCAUAUCUUGAAUGAAUCUCAAUGCUCUUGAUUUCUUAGGCACUGUGAACCAUCUAUUUGAAUAGGGAGCAAUUGAAGGUUCUAGAAUUUCCAUCUUCACUUUUUCUUUCAACAAUUCUAUUAAUUUAGGAGAUAAAGCUCUUGAUAUUCAAAUAGGCUUGAAAUCCCAUGGAACAUGUGGCACAGUAAAAAUCACCAUUGGUGCAAUGAUACUAAGAUCCACACAACCUAUUUCAUUAGGUGUGAAGGCAAAUGCUUUACCAUGUCUAAUAAGUAUUUCUUGAAACAUCUUCUUUUUUGAUGUUGUUAAAAAUUCACUCUCUAAUCUUUAUUUUAGUCAAUGAUUCUAUACUGAAUUCAUGUCCAAUCUUUUGCUUCUUCCUUAAUCUUGGUUCUUUAAGUUCUUGCUUGAUAUGUUUCAUGGUAUUAGAUGGUAAUUGAAUAGCUAUCGACUUAAUCUUCUUAGCCAUUGUCUUAUACUUUGUUUGAACUAUAGCCUCAUGCUUUAGUUCAUAGCUACCACCAUCUUCCAUACUUUCUAUUAUCUCCUUCAAUUCUUAAUAAGCUUUUUUUGAAUGCAAAUUUAUCCAUACUUCUUUUUCUUUGUUUGUUUCUAUGCUUUCCAAAACCAUCAUCAAAUCAUCUUUUAAACCUAUUUCAUCUAAUACUCCAUCUAUAGCUUCUUUUUUUGAAAUCAAAUCCAUAUUUUUAAAGUUUUUUUCUUGUUACUUCAUCCUUCUUCUAUCUACUGAAUUCAAAUCUUUAAUUUUUCUAAAAUUCAUAAAGCUACUUUCAUUCAAAUCUAAAAAUAUAUUAUUUAAAAUAUUUAUACUAAGGUUGGCAUAAUUUUCAUCUGCAUCCUUGUGUCCUCUUUUUACACGGUACUCUCUAAACAUUCAAAAAUCUAUCUUUGGAUUCCAAAUGUACUUCCCUUAAUUGAUCUCAAUGCCUCUCAUGAAUAGGCUUAACCGUAAAGAAUUGUACUACCUUCUCUCCAUCACAACUACAAAUUCUAGCAUAAUGGGAACUAUCAUCCUAAACUCUAGUUUCUAUUCUUAUAGUAGUGAUAUAAGGUUGAAAAAGAAUUACCAGAGAUGUAGCUGAAUUUUGUACAAAUUUUUUUUGUUCCACCUCCACAUCUCCAAUUCUUGUUUUUAUUGCUGAACAAGCUCCAUAAAGAUCUCCUUGUUGGUUAUUUGCUACUCUAAUCAUCCAUCCAUGAUUCAUGUCAAUUGGCCAUUUAUCCUUUUUAUACACUUUCCUUGACAUAAUGUUAAUUUCCAAUCCAUGAUCAAUCAAUGCCAACACUAGAUCAUUUAAAUUGCUAAGCUUCUUUUGUAUUUCUGUGGUUGCUCUAAGCCAAUAAAAAAUCAAAUAUCUCACUCCAUCUUCUUCUUGAUCAUCAUUCUUAAUACAAUUUGCAUCUAGAGCUUCUUGUUCUUGAUGUACUCUCAUAAAUAUAUUAUUAUUGAUCAAAGUCUUAUCUUUUAAGUUUGCUUCUCUCAUUACUCUUGGUAUUGCAGAUUGAAAAAAUUCAUGUCCUAUCUCUUCUUCUUCAUCUUGAAUCAUUUGAGUAUCUAAUGCCUCAAUCAUAAUAGCCUUAGUUGUCAUUUGUUUCUUUCUUUUUAUUACAUUAAUGAUCAAUUCAUGGAAAUUCCUUUUUGCUAUACCAAGAGCUUCCUUCACGAUAAAUUCAAUUUUGGCAUCCAAAAUUUUCUCUUCAAAAAUACUCUUCAUAUCAAUAGAUGUUUCAAUAUCAGAUUGAAGUUUAUAAGCAAGAUUUUUACCUUUAACCUUCUCUGAUGUAUCUUUUUCAUUUUCUUUCUUCUUCUCUAGUGCUCUUUUUUUGAACGUAAAUUCAGUAGAUUUUUCUUGUUGAGUAACUCUAACUCUCUUUUUUUCAAUGACAACACUAUAUAGAUUUAUCGAUCUUCUCCUAAAAAUCCUCUAAUGCUCAAAGCAUCAACCGGAUCUUUCCACUUAGUCAUUCUUUUAAUAACCUCAGUUCUUCUUUUUAUAGCUUCUAUUGUAGAUGAAUCUACAACCUUUACUUCUCUUUAUCUCACUUUAAUGGUAUAAGACUCUGCUUUUUUUUUAGAUAGAGUACUACUCUUAUUAAUUUUUUCUUCUAUCAAUUUUUUUAUACCUCUUUUCUCAAAAUUGAUCAUAAGAGGUUCAUUAGAGCUUGAAAGUCUUAUCUUUCCUUCCUUGAAAUAAAUAAUACCUUCUUUGAUUGCCGCUUUAUAGUUGUCACAUUUAUCCCGCUUUUGGCUUGGACUAUCACACCACAUACAUCUUUUGAUAUAUCCUCUAACUCCUUCUGGAACAUUUGAUGUGCUAGAUUUUUGAGAUCUUUUCAAUUCUAUCAUUUCCACCUUCAAAUCUCUCAUACUUUUGAUUAUUUCUUCCAAUACUUCAUCAUGAGUAAUCUUAUUCAUCUUUUGAAUUGAUGAGGAAGUUUGGAUAGUGGGCGCUAGAUCCACUUGUGCCAAAUAACUCUAAGUCUUGAAUUUUUUUUGCUUAGCCAAAAGUCUAAUUUUUUCCUUUAUCUUUUCUCAAUCGUUAGUAAAGCCAUUCUUAGAUGCUUUAUUUUUUAAUUGAAAGAGUAAUUUAUUCUCCAAAUCAUCAUUUAUUGCUUGCAAAAAUAACUUAAUUUUCCUUAUAUCUAGCAAUUACCUUUCAUACCUUGAUAAUUGACCGAAUUUCUUUUCAAAAUCCUUAAUUAACUCACUUGGGCCCAUUUGACAUCCAAGCCUUUGUUUAAUCUACUCUAAAAAUGACUUCUUGGUCAUUCUUUCUAAAUCUUCUUCAAAAAAAUUAUCUUUGAGUUGUUCUAAAAAUUUGCUCCAAAAAAUAGAGUCUUCAUGCAACUCUCUCAGUCUUUUUUCUAAUCUCGAGAACAACAGCAAGAUCAAAAGCAAAGAUCAUCUUUACUUCUAGAACUUGAUAUAUUUCUAUCUUGCAUACAUAAAUCCUAAAGAAAUUGGUGAUGUUUUCUCCUUCAAAUCUUCCAAUCUUGUCAACAAUAGCUUGUAAGUCUUUUGUAAUACCUUUGCCUUAUUCUUGAACUUAUUGCUGUUGCUCCAUAAAUUAUGCAAAUGCUCAAAAUAAGUCAUUUGAAGCAAUUCCACUUGGCAUUUCAAAACCUAAAUCAACAUCCUCUAUUGUCUCUAGCAAAGCAAUAAGUGCUUCAAGGCUCUUUCAAUGGAAGCACUAAUAUAUCUUGGAGAGAGAGUUGCCUUGAGAAAACAAUGAGAUUCUUACUGCUAUUGAUUGCUCUACUAUAUUGUAAUUCUAGAAUAUUCAUAAUAUUCUAUAAAACAUGAAUCCUUUAUAAAAUUUAAUUGCUCUCAUAUCAAGAAAUCCCUUCCUUUAAACAUUUGCAAAACAAAACACAAGAGAGUCAAAACUCCCCUGAAAAGUCUUUAUAUUUCCUUCCUAAGAUGGAUACUCUUUUUUUCCCAAAAUUUCCAAUCCUAAAUCCUAAACUCUAUUUCUAAACCCUAAAUUCUAAACCUUACUCCCAAAUCCUAAAUCCUAAACUCUACUCUCAAAUCUUAAACCCUGCUUCCAAAUCUUAAACCCUACUCUCAAAUCCUAAAUCUUAAAUCCUACUUCCAAAUCCUAAACCCUUUUAUUUUUAUUUGAGUAUAUAUAUGUCUUAAAAGAAAAAAGAAAAAAUUAUGAUUGAGGAUUCCAGAUAAUUGAUGCCAUCUCACUUUAAGCUACUACCAACUUCUAGCUUCUUUCUUUUUAGGAAAAGCUAUACAUCAAUGUAUCAUGAAGAUGAAUAUAUAGAAGGCGUGGGCAUCACACAUCAUGUUACUAUUAAGGGAGAUUCUUUGUUCCCACCCAUAGGUGAUAAGUGCUCUUGUCAUCCAACAUAAUCUCCUAAGGCAAGCAUUGCGGGACCAAUCCUCUGAAUAUCUUCAAUAAAUUAAUUGAAGAUUUUUAAAGAAUAUUCUUUCUCCAUCUCCUUCCAUGUAUCACCAUGGAGAUUCAAACUCGAGACCUCCUAGGUACGACCAAUGUACCUUAUCAUCCAUCCAUCUCCACAAGCCCAAAUUACUAGAUGUCAAUAGCUUCAAUUUUUCUCCCUAUAAGCUUGUUACCUGACCUCUUCUCCUUCUUUAAAUCUCUAUUUUUCACAAAUCAUAAUCUAUUUUUCUAUAAAACUUUAUAUAUCUAUUUACAGACCUAUUAAAAAUAUGUCCAUAAAUUUUUACAUUAAAUGAACACUUUAAAAAUUAAUUAUUUUAAAUCCUAAUUUCUCCUUGUAUAAAAUUAUUUUUAAUUUUUAAUAACUAUAAUACUUAUUGCUAGUAGAAUUUAUUCAUAUAUAUAUAUAUAUAUUUUUAUUAAUCUUUAUUUUAAUCUAAUAUUUAAUUAAAUAAUUAAUUCUUAUUUCUAAUUUUUUUUUAAAUAUUUUAUUAAAUAAGAAAACAUAAGCUAAGAACUGAUAGAUUUAAUAAUUUUUAUGUAGUUUUUAUUUAUCGUGCUCAAACUUGACAUGACAAUGUCAUGCCUUUUGAACUUACAUAUGUACUAGUAGCUUUUUAACAUCUAAUGAAUAAUAUUUUUUUAGAGUUUUUGGACGAUUUUGUUGUUUGUUAUCUGGACGACAUCUUGAUCUAUUCUAAGAACAUAGAUGAAUAUGAACUUCAUAUUUGUCGUGUGUUACAAAAAUUAAGAGAUGCGGGACUGUAGGCUAAGAUAGAAAAGUGUAUUUUCUACACUACUCGAGUCAACUUCUUAGGAUACAUCAUUUCAAAUAAUGGACUUGAUAUGAACCGUAAGAAAAUUCAAACUAUUCUGGAUUAAAAAAUCCCAAAAAUUGGUAAGAGAUGUUCAUUGCUUUUUGGACUUUGCCAACUAUUAUCAAAUCUUCAUCAAAGACUUCUCUCAAAUUAUAGCCCUACUUAUACGUUUGACUUGCAAAGAUAAAUUUAAGUGGAAUAAAAAAGCUGAAGCAUCUUUUCAAACUUUGAAGUCGACUUUUAUUUCUACACCAAUCUUAUAUCGCAUCGACUUUUCUAAGGCAUUUUUUUAAAAAAAAAUGCAUCAGACUUUGCUUUAGGUGUUUUAUUAUCACAAAUAAGAAUAGAUGAUAAACUUCACCUAGUAGCUUUUUAUUCCAAGAAAUUUUCAACAACCACGAUUAACUAUUGAUCUAUGAUAAAGAGCUUCUUGUAAUUGGAGAUUCUUUCUAAGAAUAGUGUCAUUAUCUAAAAGGUGCUUCUAAUCCAGUCAUUAUAUAUACAAAUCAUAAGAACCUAAAAUAUUUCAUGUCAGCACAUAUUUAGAAUGGUCUCUAGGCUUGUUGGAGCAUUUUUUUAUCAAGAUUUGAGUUCAAUAUUACUUAUUGGCCAAGAAAACAACAAGUUUUGUUCAAUACCUUUUUUAGUCUUUUUUUAUAUUGCAUCUAAAGAAAGAGAUGUAACUUUGGAUUAACAAAGGAUAAUUUUAUUGAAAUCAAAAUAAUUUCAUCUUUGAGUAGUAAAAUCAACAUUGACUAUUGAUUUAACUUUUUUUAAAUAAAUUUAGUUAACUAUGUCUUCUAAUCUUCUUGUUCAUGAUAUUAAGAAUACUUCUUUUAAAUCUCGUGAUACUUCUAAGUUUGAAUUCAAGAACAACAUACUUUAUUUUCAAGGACAUCUAUAUGUGCUAGAAGGAGAAUCACGUUUACGAGUUCUUCAAGCAUGUCAAGACUUUCUAGGAGCAGGACAUUUUGGACACAAUAAGACUCUAAAGCUAAUAUCUAAAGAUUUUUUAUGGUUGCAAAUGUAAAAAGCUAUAAAAGACUUUAUUCAAUCGUGUGACAUUUGUUCAAGGUCAAAAACUCUUUGGCGUCUAUCUUAUAGACUUCUUCAACCAUUACCUAUUUCAAAACAACUAUGGUCUUCUAUUUCUAUGGAUUUUAUUAUGGAUCUUCUAGUCUCAAAAUUGUGUGAUUCUAUAUUUGUGAUAGUAGAUCAUUUUACCAAAAUGGCAUAUUUUAUACCAUAUACAAAAUCUAUCACAAGUGGAGAAAUUGUCAAACUUUUCUUUGAUAAUAUCUAUUAAUAUUAUGGAUUGUUAAAAGAUAUUAUAAUGAAUAAAAGAACUCAAUUUGUAUCAAGAUUUUGGAGAAUUCUUUUUAAGAUUUUAAAGAUAGACCUAAAGCUUUCUUUGGCCUUUCAUCCUCAAACUAAUGGAGAGAUAGAGCAUAUAAAUGAAGUUUUGGAACAAUACUUAAGGUGUACCAUCAAUUAUCAAUAUGAUAAUUGAAGAACUCACUUGCCAAUGGCAAAGUUUGCUUAAAAUAAUAAAAUAUAUUCUUCCACGUAACAAACACCUUUCUUUUCUAAUUAUGGUUAUUAUCCAUGACUUGAUAUUUUUGACUUUUUAAAAGUUAAUAAUCCUACCGUAAAUAGUUUAACAAAUUGUUUGUCAAAGCUACAUGCAACAAUGAAGGUGUAAUUAAAAGAAGCUCAAGAAUGACAAAAAAUCAAUGUGGAUAUCUAUCGAAAGGAAUAACCACAAUUCAAUGUAGGUGACAAGGUAUGGUUAUUUCGUCAUAAUAUCAAGACUACUUAUCUUUGUGAUAAAUUAAACUACUGCAAGCUUAGAUCUUUUCUUAUUUGUGAACAAAUCGAUCUAGUUGCUUAUCAAUUAUAUCUAUCAGUGUUAUAUUGUGUCAAGGAUACAAAUUAAAAGAAGAUACAUAAACUCAUGGAAUCUAUAUCUAAACGAAAGUGACAAAAUAAAAGAAAGUAUGUAUAUUCAAGGAAGAACUAGAAUGGCUAUUGCCAAAGACUAGAAAACAUAAGACUCUUGAAACUAAACUAAAAAGUAAGAAAAGAAUUGACAAGAGUGAGGAAGGCCUCCUUCUUGCAUCUAUAUAUACUAUUUAACUAAAAAAUAUGUAGCAAUAUGCUAUAAGACUUCUAAUACACAUCCAACUUACAAGACACAUGUCUAAUUUGCAAAGCAAGUUUCCUAAAUGUAUGCCAUAUGUCCAACUUAUACUACAAGUGGUCAACAUGUCAACAUGUGGCCUCUUUGUUGGCCAAGUUUUCAACCUAUCAAUCACCUAUAGACAUGUAUAAAGGCAAAGCAGCAUCUAUGAAGUUUUUAGGAAGCUUUUUAUAAGAUAUUAUUAUAUUUAUCUACUUUGAUUUAUUUCUAUUUACUCCUAUUAUCUAGAUAAUUAUCAAGAUAAAUAUGUAAGUAAUAUUAUCUCCCCUUCUAAGGACGACUUCCAUGAAGAGUAGUGAUUAUAUAUUGAUGAAGUCGAAGAUGCAUCAAACUAUAUUUGUCACAUAUUCUUUGUUCUCUUCAAAAGAGGUUGAUAGGUCCUUCAACCAUUGAUAAUAUCCUAGACUAGGACGAAAAAGACUACCUAAAUAUUUGAUCAUUAUUGAAGCCUUCAUAACUUCUUUCAAAGAAAACAUUAGUAAUACCAUUAGGAGUAGUUCCUACCUCCAAAAAUAUCAAUAAAUAUUGGGAGUUCCUUCUGAGGUCGUGGUACUAAAUGCAUUAUAUCUCACCAUUUGUUCGAGGAAGAACAUGUCAUUCUUAAAGAGUAUAAUACUUUUAAGACUGAUAAAUAUAUUUUAGAUAUAUUCAAGUAUUUUAUAAAUGAUAUUUUUUAAAAAUUCUUAGGUAAGUUUUUUAUUUGCUAUCUUUAUGAUAUCUUAAUCUACUCCAAGAUUUCUAAAGAAUAUAAAAAAACAUGUAAGAUUAUUCUUAAAAAAUUUACAAGAUCUAAGAUUAUAUACCAAAUUUUUCAAAAAUAUAUAUUCUAUUAGCCAAAAGUAGAAUUUUUUGAAUAUAUUAUAUCCAAUGAAGGAUUGUUGAUGGACCCAAAGAAAUUUCAAGUUAUAAUAGAGAGUGCAACUUCAAAGAAUGUAUAGGAUAUAAAAUAUUUUUUUAGAUUUGUUAAUUUCUAUUAAAUAUUUAUCAAGAAUUAUUUCCAAAUUAUUACUCCUUUUACUUGAUUAACAUCUAAAGAUAAAUUAGAAUAAGAAUCUCAAGUACAAAGGGCUUUUCAAGAUUUGAAAGUAACUUUUACUAUAUCUUCAAUUUUAAUGCAUCAAAAUUUUAUAAAGGCCUUUUAUUUGGAAAUUGAUGUUUUCAACUUUGUAUUAAAAGGUGUACUAUUAAAGAUAAAAAAUGAUAGAAAGUUCCAAUUAAUUGUGGUGUAUUCUAAAAACAAUUCAUCUAUAAAAAUUAAUUAUGAGAUUCACAAUAAAGAACUUCUUUCGAUUGUAGAUUCUUUUUAAAAAUGGUAUCACUUACUGAAAGGCACUAUACAUCUUGUAAUUAUAUAUACAGAUUACAAAAAUUUGGAGUAUUUUAUAUUAGCUUAGAUUUUGAAUUGCCACCAAGUUCAUUGAAAUAUAUCAUUCUCUUAUUUUAAUUUCAUGAUUAUAUAUCAAUCAAAGAAGCAAUAAAGACUAUCAAACUCUUUAUCAAGAAAAUAAUAUCUUGCUUCAAAGGCUAGAGAAGUGGCAAUUAAUCAACAAUAUUUUACUUUCUUGAAGCCAGAACAAUUUGGUGUUUAUACUACUUUUAUAGUUAUACUUCUUGAUUUAAAUUUUCUUGAAAAAAUUUGUGCAGCAUCAACUAAGAAUUCAUUAGUUUUUAAUAUCAAAUAGUGCCUUGACCAUGAGAAGUUCAAAUUUGUGAAAGAUCUUUUACAUUGUGAAGAUUGUUUAUAUAUUCCAAAAGAAUCAUUGCGACUUCAUGUUCUUCAAUCUUAUCAUGAUUUUUCAACUAGAGAAUAUUUUGGAUUUAAUAUAACAUUCGAGUUUAUCUCUCAAGAUUUUUGGUGGCCUCACAAAUUGAAGACCAUGAAAUACUUUGUUCUUUCAUGUGACAUUUGUUCAAGAUUUAAGAAUUCUAGUCAUUAUUUUUAUAGACUUCUAAAGCCACUACCAAUUUUAAAGCAACUAUGGCCUUUAAUAUCAAUGGAUUUUAUCAUUAAUUUUCCAUUAUUAACUACAUUUAAUGCUAUAUAUAUUAUUAUAGAUUGACUUAUAACAAUGGCACAUUUUAUCUUAUACAAAAAGGUAAUUUUCAAAGAAGGAACGGCAAGGCUCUUUUUUGAUAAUAUAUAUUAAUAUCAUGGCCUAUCUCAUCAUUUUUAAUUGUGGAUUUUAAUUUAUAUCAAAGUUUUGAUAUUUUCUUUUUGAGAUAUUGGAGAUGGAUAUCAAACUUUCUUCUACCUUCCACCCUCAAAUUUGUUAUUAAAUAAAAUAAGUCAAUCAAGUUUUGAAGUAGUAUUAGCAAUGUACCAUCAACUAUCAACAAGAUAAUUUGAUCUUAUAUUUACUUUUAGCAAAGUUUGCUUAUAAUAAUAUUUUUUAUUCUUCAAUCUAAUAAAUACUAUUUUAUGCUAAUUAUGGUUGCCAUUCAAAGCUUGAUUUGUUACGUAUACCAAAGGAUGAAAAUCCAAUAGUUGAAGAUUUUGAAAAACAAUUAUAACAACUCCAAAAAAUAUUGAAGUUCUAUUUAUAAAUAGCUCAAGAUUAUUACAAAGUAUUUUUAGAUAAAUUUAGAAAAAAAAUCUUUAUUUUUCAAGUUAAAAAUAAAUUAUGGCUUCUUUGACAAAAUAUCAAGACCAAGUAGCUUUGUAACAAGUUGAACUACUAAAGAUUGAGGCCAUUUUGUUUUCAAAAGCAAAUCAAUCUAAUGGCUUAUUGAUUGAAAUUACCUAGAUUAUCUAUUUUUGGGAAGAUUAAAGAAAUAGUUUGAAAAGCUUUUCAAGAUUUUUUUAUCUUUAAGCAACAUGAAAAAUUCUUAAGAAACUUUUUAAUACCUAGUAUAUAUUGGAGUCGAGGAUAAAGAAAUCUUUAGUCUCAACAACAUAUCUCUUGGAGCUUUAGCUCAAUUUUCUUAGUAUUGAUCAUAUAUUCAUCUGUUUAAUUAAGUUUAUACUAACUUUCUUAUUGAAACUCUUUUGUUCAAUUUCUUAUUUAGUCUAUUGUAUAUUAUAUCAAUAUAUAUAUAUAUAUAUAUAUAUAUAUAUAUAUUUAUUUAUUUUAUAAUAUUAAUAAAAAUAUAUUUACAUGAUUAUUUGUUAUAUUUUUUACAUCAAGAUUUAAGAUUAUGGUGUACAUCAUAUCAUAUAAAUAAUAUUUUUAAUAUAUUAUUCCAUAAGCAAAGCAAGAUUCUUUAUGCUAAAAUAUAAAGAUAUAUAUAUAUAUAUAUAUAUAUUAUUAAUUUAAUUAUAAUUUUUUCUAUUGCCAUCACGACCUAUUCAACUUAUUGUCCUUUACAAGCUUAUAUACUCUUUUCAAAUGUUCUUAUACCCUUGUCUUGUAUGCAAUGCAUUCAUUGCUUAAUAAUUUUUUACACCAUAUUUCUUUCUCAUAGAAUUUGACAUUGCCAACACCUUUGCAAGCUAUGAUGCUUUGAUCACCUACUUGUAAAAAGAGGGCUUGGCCACAAGUUAUGCAAUUACAAAAAAGAAAAAUUAAUGUCUCUCGUAAGCGUCUUGUGUUGGAUUUUCACCAUGGCAUUAAUAAAGUAUAUUGGUAGCAUAUAAUGGAUGGCAAAUUGUAAUUGUAGUAGCAAAAACUAUGGUUAGAUAAGGAAUGUCCUAUACAUAUGUAAGUACAUAUUUGAUUAAUGGUUUGUGCCAUUUUUACUAAUUAAUAAAGACAUAUAACUUAUAAUAUUGAAAACCAGUUUAUACCAUUUUCCACAUACUGUUAUUAAUGCAUUAAAUAAACCAUAUCAAGAAAUAUGCAUAGAAACUAACUCUAACUCCUCAAUCUCAUAACUCAUUUUUUAGAAAUCUACUAAGGGACACUAAAUGUUUGAAUUACAUCUAAAGAUGUUCAACCCGGCCCACUACCACGAGAAUUGAUACUACCCACCCCAAAGCUUGGAACUAAAUGACGAAGGGGUGCCACACGUGUGGGUCCAGCUCGGACACAGUUAAUAUUCGUGUUCAACAAUAGGUCCGCGGCCCCCAUCUCCACGCCACCCUACCCCAUCGCCGAGUCAUAUCCCUAUGGCUGUCCACACUGACCGAUUCAUUCAACUCACAGAAGAAGCCCUGCCUUGUUCACAUGGCGUCCCCUUCGGCAGGGCUCAGAUCUGCGAAGAAGGCUCACUCGUCCAUGAACACUCUCACUCAUUCUCCCCAUCGAACCCUCUCCUUCCCCUCUUGAAAAUUUAUGAGGUAGUUGCUCCAGGUUCCACAAUACAACACUCUCCGCUACACUUCACGGUGCCAGCUCAGUCAAUUGUCGAGCUUCGGCUAACACCACAGGCCUUCUUCCAUCUUUCCACAUACGAAUUGUCCAUUUAAUGUGUCAGUACCGACCGGGCCAACGGAAAAAGCCAUUCUCCCAUCUGUUUAUAUGCACGCGAUGACUAGGCAGUGUAUAAAUCUCCUCUGAACUUGCUCACAUGUGCUUUAAAAAGAUUCGCAUCUUCUUGCUAAGUGGUCAACAACCCUCAGAUUGCAACCAGCCACCUAAUGUUUCUGGCAUUCUUGGUGGCAAUUAUCGCAAGGAGACUGUAAAAUGUGCUCUUCUGGACGACCUUGAAAUCGUGGCCUGAUCCCUUCCCUGCUAUCUGUUUGAAAGGCAAUGCCUGCUUCCCCAUGUUACACACAUCGCCCUUAUCACUAGCUUUGGGUGUCACAUGGGAGUUCCACAAAUUCAGAAUGGCCAUGCUUCAUAAUGCAUCCCUUGCAACUAAUAAUAAUCUGUUCCCAUUCUGUAUUUCCUGUCACUGUUGAACAAGGGUGGGAGUCGAGUGAUAUUUCAGUUUUUGGUGUAUGUAUCAAUCCAGACACGUUUUACAUUCUGACACUGCAAGUAAACAUGAAGCAGUGAGUUUGCCAGGUGUUGGUUCAAGAGAAAGUAGAAGUUUUAGGACAAAGGGUUUACUUUGAACUCUGGUGUUCAUACCAACUUGCAAUAAUUACAAAAAUUCUUACCCUCCUCGAAAAAGGGUCAAAUGUUAGAGUUUUAAUAAGGGUUUCCAUGUAAAGCUACACUGGAAUAAACUGAAAGCAUGUAAAGAUAAAAAUGUAUGUGGAUAUAUAUACUUGUACAUGCAAUAGUUUUGUUCAAAGAACAUGAAUUUUUGAAAUUUCAAACCUUUUGCACUUUGCAGCAAAACAUUUUUGUAAAGCAUGAUGAUUAGGUCUGAUCUCUCUUUUGCACUACAAAGUUUAUGGUUCUUUGCCAAUAUCAGGGUCAUAAAUUUACCAAAGCAUUGUUGAUGUGCCAUGUAUAAUAUCCCCUUUGAUAUAUCAGUUAAAAAAAUUCCAAGGACCUUUUUUGAGUCAACACGACUCCUGACAGUCAAAAAGUUUUCUUAUAAAAAAGCUACGUAUAUUUCCACUCUUCGACCAUGUGCAUGCAUAUUCUGAUCAAUUACCAUGUUGACCACUCCCUGUGGAUAACCUUUCUGGUAGCAGAUAUAUAUUUGCUGUUCAUUUCUCCUGGUAUCAUACUACUAAAAUAUUCAAUCCUCCAACUAAUCAUCUUUACAAUUUUUUUCUUGUGUAGAUUGUAACAAAACUCAAUUUACCUGAAACAAUCAAACAAUUGGAGGAAAGUUCUAGAUAUUUGCGACUGAUAAGUUUAGAUGCUUGUUUGUUUUGAAUACUGUUGUCAAGAACCCAGUCUUUUGUUGGACAUGUUCCAGAAAAGCAAGGCCAAUAGACAUGAUUGUGCUAGUUCCAAAUACCAAUAUUGCUCCUCAGGCCUAAUGUGGCCAAAAAGAAACAGCCCUAAGACGUGUACCAAUGUUCUAUAGACAAUGUAUCUUUAUCCCACAAGGACAAGUAUUCACAAAGCCCACAUUUUGUUCUUGGAAUAUACUUGAAUUGACCACAUGAUUCUUGAAUGCUUUGGUUUCAUUGGAUUUUAUUGAAUGAGGAGUUUCAAGAAUUCAAAGAGAGGAAAAGAUAAAAAUAUAUAAAGAUAAAUAUAGAAGAAAGUAAUUGACAAGCCCUUCAGUAUUUCACAGAAUUUCUAUGUGUUACGUAUCACGUUGUUUACUUAUACACUUGUUUGCACCAUGUACAAAUAAUCUUCCAGAAAUUGAACGAUUCAUACUUUAACCAUUUGGUAACGUGAAAGAAGAAGGGCCUGCAGGAUUACCAACACAAGGAGCUGGCACUCAUUACGUUUGUGUAUGACAGUAUGCUGGUGUUCCUCCGCUUCAAGCUCUCCCUCGUUCGUUCAUUGCGCCCAGCGUGCUCCUUUUCAUCCCCACCGCGAUUCUUUUAGGACUUUGGGCUGGCUCUCUGGGUGUGCUCCAAACCUGGCGGGGCCAACUGGAUGCACUUAUGCUGUAAUUCCCAGUCAACUCAUUCAAGAAAACCUUCUUGCACAGAUCAGGACGGGAGUGUGUUGCAACAGCGUGCCAAGUGAAUGUUCAUCGUUUCAGAAACGCCCAGCUCUUCGUUCAUGGGCAACGCAUUACACACACACUGUAAAACAUUUGAGCCUCAAGGUCCACCACAAUCCACAACAACGCUCAAAGACAAACCCAGAUGUAUUCCUUGCGUGCUUAUACAUGCCUCAGGUGGCUUCUCACCUUGUCCCCCCCCCCCCCCCCCCCUUUAGUAUAACGACCCCCUCAAAUUAUGAAACCACCUGCUCUAACAUGUCACCUGCCGCUGGUGCACCACCCAAAUGGCUCGUGAUCACCAUCAACUAUCUGCACCAUCCUCCAGUUUUGGAAAAGUCUUCAUGAACCAGAGGUACUGUGCCUGAGAUGCUUCACUCAUGUUCUCAAUCUGAGAUGGAUUAGGGGCAUCGACGACGGGUGGGACGGCUGCGUGGGGUAAAUCACCCGGCUGUGCAGCAGCACCUGGCUGCAAAAGGGCAUGAGCUUCACCACCUCCUCCUG
rnacentral:lncRNA from 1 species